rnacentral:lncRNA from 1 species
GGGGCCACUUCCGUCAACAUGGGAAGCAACCCAUUUGACUGCGUCCCAUGAAUCUUCAUAAGCGAUAGGAAGGGGAUGCUCUGGGGCUCUUCGGUAGUCGACCGAGACUGCGAUGAUGUUAGCUUCAGAGACCAAGUCGUUGAGGUAAUUAUGGUAAGUUGGUGAAAAAGCAGUCUCGAUGCAAAAACCUCCGCCGUGAAAAUAAACAAGAAGGGGAAGUUUUUGGUUUUGAUUUGUGUUUUUCGGGAGGUAAAGCCGAGCAGAUAAAUUAUUUUCAGGAGAAUACACAACGUCUUUGGAAUCAACGUUUGUUUUGGGAUCAAGUGAUGGGGGAACGAUAUCGGUGCCCCUAAGCCUUUCUACUUUGCCGUCUUUGUGUACUUUUAUCAAAGGAGAGAAGUCAUGGGCGACUUCUGAUGAUGCGUUGGCGGAAUCCAUGGAGAAGAAGCAGAGCACAAAAUGUGGAGGGCGUUUGCUUUUGUAAAGAUGAUAACGAAAGGAUUUGGCCUGUGCAGGACAGACAGGGAUUUGUCCCCGCCAUACCCUAAAAGGUUAGGUAUUUAUCCAACUACAUCCCCAUAAUUUAAAAUUUCUUUUAUAUACCUUUUUCAAUGUGCAAUUACAGAAUUACCCUUUUUUCAAAUUUCAAAAUCUGCCUUCACGAGCUACCAUACACAACGCCUGUCCUGCUGCUGCAAGUUCAUGCUCCUGCUGCUGCAAGUUCAUCCACCACAUUAAAGGUUACAAAAUCACCGAAUUAAAGGCUGGAAAUUUACCGAACUAAAGGUCAUUAACCACAUUUACACUUGAUUUUUACUUUAUAAAGAGAAUUUAUGGUGCAUAAUUGUUAGGGUUAUAUGCAUUAGGGUUUUAAAAAACAAAUUACCCACAUGAUUUUGGUCAUUAUCUUGCUUAUUUACUGAUAAUCUUUCUUGUUGGUAAUGUAAUGAAGCUUCCUGAACUUGUGGAUUUGAAAUUGAAGAGAGUGAUUUCAUGGCUCUUUAAUAAUGGUUGUGGGAGUUCCUAAUUAAAUAUUCAUAGAGAAUUGGAUAAAACAAAUAUUAUCCUUAUGAAUACUCGGUUAUGGCUACACUAGUUUAUGCAUUAGAUCUUUAUAUAAUUUUACUUGUUGUUUGUAGUUGAACUUCAUCCAUGGGAAUUAUAUAUCAAUUUUCUUCAGCUGCGUAUGCAUUCAUUAUGCUACAAUCUGGGUUUUCUCUAUUAUUUGCUAUAGAACCUUUAUUUUGCAAUUCUAAUUUAUUAACAAUUUGCUAUUUAUUUCAGCAUAAAACUAUUGAUAGUACACUAUUAAUAAGUGUGUUUUGAACGACUUGUGAAUUUUGAAACAAUGUUGGAUCAUUUUAUUAAUUUGUCUCACUGUGAGGCUAUUGACUGAAGAAGUCACAUAGCAUUUAGGAUUUGAUAUUAUUGUGCAGCAAAUGUUGUUGUAUAUAUUUCCAACUAGUUAACUAUUGGAGAAUUGCCCUUUAAUACACUCGUCCUAGACUUGUUUUUAGUUUUUGAUAAUUAUACACAUACUUAAUAGCUUAUUAAUCAGAUUUAACUAAUGAAAAUUAAUUGUUUGAGUGUUAUGGAAAAAUUCAACAUUUUCUUUGAAUAUUUAUACUUUAUUUGGAAUUGUUAACAUACUUGAUACAUAAAGUUUGAUUUUUAUGUCAUGUGGCAGUGAUGGUUUAUUUCUUUUUUUUGUUUAGUACUCAUUUAAAAAUUAUUUGAGUUCAUAGUUAUUGGCAAUAUAUUUUAAUUUGAUGGGUUUGUUCUUGAAAUAAUAUAGUUAUGCUGAUCUUGUAGAUGCUAGUUGUAAGAAAGUCAUGUUGUCUUAUAUAUAGAACAUUUUUAAGUUGUAAAAAGUUCUCAUACCUGUUGCUUUUAUGUUGUGUGAUCAUUUAGUAGAUUGAUAAUAUAUUACGACAGUGAUAAUAAAUUUGAAGUAUUAUUUUUACUACAAAUUGAAAUUAUAUUUUUUCGACUUAACAAUAACAAUGGUGAUUUUUAACGAUUGAUUUAUAUGAAUGUUUUUAGUGGUGAUUGUGGAGCAUUUUUGUUGCAGUUCUUGGAGGUCUUGGCCCACUGACCUGAUGUCAAUUCAUAUUACCAACAAGAUGAUGUUGCACAAUUUCAAAAAGCAUUGGCUGUCAAAUUAUUUUGGAGUAGGUCUUGGAAAAAAAACUACGUAGUGUCCCACUCUUAAAAACUUCAUUGAUGUGUCAUUUUUUGGAUUACUUAUCAUGAGAUGUAAUUAUUACAAUGGGAUGUUGUUGAUAUUUGAUAUCAUUAAAGUUAAUUUGACAUCAUACAUAUGUUUUUUUUUAUUAAGUAUAUUAAUGACAGAGAAGAUAGUUUUUUAUGAUGUAUGUGAUGUAAUAGAAUGGUCAUAUAUGCUCAAGAAAUGCUCAGCCCAAACACAUGACUGUCGUCGAGUAUUUUCACAAAUACUCGACUGCAGUCGAGUAUUUACAAAUAUACAUGACUAGCUGGUAUUUGCAUUGGUUCACGACUGUAGUCGGGUAUUUUCACAGAUAUUCGACUGCAAUCGAGUAUUUACAAACAUACAUGACCAGCUAGUAUUUGCAUUAGUACAUGACUAUAGUCGGGUAUUUUCAUAGAUACUCGACUGCAGUAGAGUAUUUCCAAACAUAUAUAACCAGAUGGUAUUUGGAUUGGUACACGACUGAAGUCAUGUAUUUUCACAUAUACUGGACUGCAAUCUAGUAUUUCCAAACAUAUAUGACCAGCUGGUAUUUGCAUUAGUACACGACUGCAGUCGGGUAUUUUCACAUAUACUCAACUGCAGUUGAGUAUUUACAAACAUACAUAACCAGCUGGUAUUUGGAUUGGUACACGACUGCAGUCGGGUAUUUUUACAGAUACUCGAUUGCAGUCGAGUAUUUCCAAACAUAUAUAACCAGGUGGUAUUUGGAUUGGUACACGACUGCAGUCGGGUAUUUUCACAGAUACUCGACUGCAGUUGAGUAUUUGUAAACAUACAUAACCAAUUGGUAUUUGCAUUGGUACAUAACUUUAGUCGGGUAUUUUCAUAAAUAAACGACAAUAGUCGAGUAUUUAAUAGAUUCACAUUUAUAGUUGAGUACAAUCAGACAUACACGACAAUAGUCGAGUAAGAGCCAAAAUACACGACUGUAGUUGGGUAAGUGGAUAUAGAACAUAAAAUUACCCAAAACAUUCAUUAUAAUGACAACAAAAUCAACAUAGGCUUUAACAUAUCAUACUUCAAUUUAACAAAUAACAAAAGUAAUUGUACAUCAAACAACAUAGAUCCAAUACAUGUUCAAAUCAUAAAUAAGUCGUAAUACAAUGGAAGUUGCUGCACAAUCAUCAUAAUUAUUUGCAUGCUCAGCCCAAAGACUUGACCCAUGUAUUAUAAGGCCCCAUUCGCCUCCUUUUGAAAACAGCAUAAGCCACACAAACAUGUUUAUCCAGUUGCAAAACAAAAAAGGUAGAAAUUUAUCAACUAACUAUUUUAGAUAUUAAAGAAAUUAAAAGAACAAAAAUGACAAGUAUGUAAGGUUCAUAGUAGUAUGUGUGCUUGUUUUUGUUUCAUUCGGUCUAACUACGGGCUCAUUGUUAGACAGUGAGAUUGGUGCAUUGCAAGUUAGUCGAUUAUAUCAUUAAGAACCACACCUACCGUACUUACGGCGUAACUUUUCUUCACCUUGUGAUGCUAUCCUAAUUUCUUAUGAUUCUAAAGAAUAAUAGGCACACAUACUGAAGUCACUUCUUACAAUAAUACAACAGAUGAUUAUACAAAAAAAAAACAAAAAAAUCAAACAAGGUAUAUUAUGAAGUGUGGAACUGUCUGUCUAUUUACACGACUGCUGUCGUGUAAUUGCUAGUUUACACGACAAUAAUUGUGUAACUUGCUAAAAUACACAAUUAUAGUCUAGUAAACAAUUAGAGAAUAUGUUUAGUAAAAAAAUGUAAUCUUUAUACUAAUAGAUUACUAUGUGUCAUAACAGCUACUAUAUCUUUCAAUCUUGCACAACUGCUAUCGUGUAAAUUCAUACAUACAUGAUAAAAGUCAUACAUACAUGAUGACAGUUGUGUAAGUUAUAGAAAUACAUGACUAUAAAUAGUCAAAGGACACAUUUCUUCUUCAAAAAAUAUUUUUCUUGCACUAAUAAAAUGUUGGGAUCUCAUAACAGUUGGAACAUUUUACAUAUAUGUACAAUUAUAAUAUAUAAGUUCAUACGUAUACGAUAGUAGUCGUGUAACUUAUUAAAACACACAACUAUAGUCUAGUAAUAGUAAAAGGAUAUAUCUAGUGAAAAUAAUAUAUUUUUUUGCACCAAUAAAAUGAUAGGGUGUCAUAAUAAUUUGAAUCUUUUGCACAUUUUCACGACUACAGUCGUGUAAAUCCAUACAUACACGACUGCUGUCGUGUAUGUUGGGGUGCAGAACAAAAUUUUGGCAGCAACUUUAGGUUUUAACGAAUGUAGUUAUAAAAUCCAUCAAAUAACAGUCAUAUGAUGCAAAUAUAAUGAAAAUGUGAGUUGCUUUAUUGUUUAUCACAAACCAAACAAAACCCUAAAAAUAAUAUAAUGUCAACAAAAUAAAUAAAUAACACAAAAUAAAAUAUAAAGUUUCAAAUACCUUAUUCAUGUGAUGAAUAAUGCACCCAGCUGCAAACUAAAAUCUCAGUACAUUGGCUGUUCGUGAGUGAUUUUAAGUGUGGAGUGAGUUUUUGUUGUGUGGAGUUAAAAAAAGUGAGAAGUAAAGAGUGUUGGAGGUGAGUUGUGUGUGUUUUAUAUUUUUCUUUAGGGAUAUUUUAGACAAUGUACCACAUAAAAAGGUAUAUCUAGAUAAUUUUUAAGCAUGUAAAUAAAAAAAAUUAUUAUUUUUUAUCUGUAAAUAUAAAUAUCUCAAUUAAUAUUAUCUUUAAAUAUUACUAAGAAGUAAAAGUUGUUUAAGUGUGUGUGUAUAUAUAUAUAAUUAUAAUACAUACAUACGUGUGUGUAUUCAACUGUUUAUUCUUAUCAUAUGAUUGAUAUGAUACGUAUUCUAAAAUUUAUUUUAAUUUGAGAUAUUUAGUUGAUAUAUUAAUUAAUGUAUUAGGGAUAAAAUUUUAUUAUUUAAAUAAAAAAUAAAAAAAAUUAUUAUUAUUUAUCUGUAAAUAUAAAUAUCUCAAUUAAUAUUAUCUUUAAAUAUUACUAAGAAGUAAAAGUUGUUUAAAUGUGUGUGUAUAUAUAUAAUUUGUGUGUGUGUGUGUUCAAUUGUUUAUUCUUACUUAAAAUAUCAAGAAUCCUAUCAUAAGAAUGGAACUCGAAUCCGUGAACCCAAUAUUGGGUGGGAAUAUGGGAUGGGUGCGAGUACAGUCGGGGGAGCCCACUCGAUUGGCGUUGGGUACGUAACGUUGGAGGCGAUGAAAACAAAAAUCAAUUAAUUCCUCUCCACAUACAAGAGCUUUUGCGAAUCACAGAUGUGACCUAAUGAAAAGUGAUAACGUGAUAAGUGUCAUUCAAUUAUUGAUAGAUACUUUUGACAUCUAGAAACAUGUUGAAAAAUUAUGCAUAAUUGUGUCUCGUAGCAAAUUACGUUUGCAGUGUGGUCGCUUAAGUCAGUUCCCUGAAAUAAUGGGCAUGGUGCAUCCAUCCAUCUUGCAGACGGCGGAAUAACAAUGAAAGGUGAAUUUAGAGCUAGGUUAAAUCGAAUCAAACUGUAGUUUCUUUUUCACAAAUUGGCUCCUAUACAAUUAAACUCUUUAAUAUUCAAUCCUCAUUAUUCAUAAGCUUGAUUAAUUAAAAUAGUUAUUAAAAAGCCAAAAAAAAACAAAAGAGAUAGAGAGAGAACAUUGGAGUACAAGUAGAUAUAUAAUUAAAUAACACUGAAUAUAGUUCAUAAUAUAUGAUCGUCCAGUUGGUUAGCAGGACAAUAAGAAAAUGUUGGGUUGGACGGUUGGUGAUGAAAUAAAGCAUUAAAUAUGAAUGAAAGAAAAAAAAAUAUAUGGACGACAUAUGCAGUAGAUGGAUGAUUUGAUGUGCAUAUUUGAUGUGCAUAUUUAAUUACUCUUUAUUUCAUUGUCGUGAGUAAAUUAAAAAUUGAUUUUAUUGCCAUUCAAUUUGAUAAUUUUAAGUAAUUUUCUUGUGCUAAUCAACUAAAUUUCGAAUCUUAAAAAUAAUAGGGACUACAAAAUAAUUUGUAUUUUAUUCAUCCUAUCUUUUAAAAAAGAAAAGAAACAUGACGAUAGAAAGUUAAUUCGGUGAGCAUGCUUACGCUGGUUGAACAGUGUAUACAACCAGCUAAAGGUCUACGAGUCAGAAUUUGGUGUUUUCUUGCCCAGCCUUUUAGGGUUUGUGUAAAUAAAAGUCAUAUAAAUGAAACACUAUCUUAAUAUUAAAUUGUGGAACCACUUUGACUAGCUAGUGAAAGGCUGCCAUUCCAUUAGGAAAUCCGACAUAAUUUUCAAGGGAUCACUCUCUCUGAUGGCAAUAUUGCCCGCCAACCCAAAAAUCUCUUCCGUUAAAAUUAUGACUAAUACUUAGUAAAAGGAGGAAAGGUAGUGUUAGUACAAUCUGAUGAUUGUCAAAUAUAUAUUAGCAAAAGGAUGAGUACAUUGAUACAAAUUCAAACUUUUUUUUUCCUUUUUAUCCCUAAUCACCUAUUACAUUAUUUUAAUUUCCAAUUUUUGUGAAAGUCUAACGGGUAGUUGUCUUGUCAUUAUUUUUUUUUAUAAGGUCUUGUCAUUAUUUGGUUUCAAGUAAGAAGAGAGAAAGUUAGUGAGAGGAUGAAAAUUUUACAAAAACUUGUUACUGGCUGUGGUAAUUAAGUAAUUUGAAUUCUUCUUUUUAUUUAUUUUUUUACUCUUUCCUGUUUUAAAACAAAUUAUGAGUUUUCAUGCUUAUAAUAAUUCUUAUAAACGUCAUAUGGUUUGGCAUAAAAUUAGGUAAUUGGAAAGGCCCUGGUGUUGGAUGAAAUUAUCAAUUACGUGUAGCCCCUAUAAAAUCAAUUGGAGACAACAUUGUUACUAAAAAAACCUUAGUAACACAGUAAUAAUGCAUUAAUCUUCUUUAAUAUAUUGUUGUAUUCCUACUUUAUUUAUUGAGUUUUGUAGUUUUUUUGGCACUAUUUUCUCUUAAUUUCAUACAUUGCUUUUUACUAUUUUCCAAUCUUUCUAUGUUGCUUUUGGAUCACUACAAUUGCUGGUUGUGAUUUAUUUUAGCCUACUAUUGUAGGUCUUUAUAGUUGCCGAGUUUUGUUUAUGUUUAGCUACUUUAUUAAAGCAAUUUUGCAUAAUGAAGUUAUGGCUAACCUUUAUUAAAUACUUCUAACUUUUGUCGAUACAUUUUCUUAACUUUUAUACUGAAGAUUUUUUUUUUUUGGUUUUUCAAGUAAUUUAAUCCUUAAUAACAUUUUCUAACAAAAUUAAUUACAUAAACGAUCAGGAAAAAAAAAGUAGAAUCGUUGUAAACUGUCUUCUGUUCAUCGUGGUUGAUCAACUCUCAUGUGCAACAUCUAAAUCCAAUGGUACUUGAAACAAAAAAGACUUUGUUUUAUGACUUUUAUCUUUAUAUUUCUUUGCAAGGAACAAUAUUUAUUUGGAUUUCAAUGUCAUGCUUUGUAUUUGAAUCUUUUGGAUUGUAAUUACAUAUUUUAAAUCCUUUUUCACGUGACUACAAUUUUUUUGGUCACUAAAUUUCAAUUUAUGCCACUACAAUAUGAAAAAAUGAUAUUUGAAAAGAACACUGAUUUUAUUCUUCUAUAUGUAUUGCAGUAGAAUUACAGAGAAUUUAUAUAUAAGUUUGCAAGAGCAAAUAUUCACAAAAAAAGAAAGUAAAUAACGAUCCCAUAUUCAAAGGGAUUACAAAUCAGCCACAUAUAAGGAAGCAAUCUCUCUCAAUUAGUCAAGUGAAGCCAACGAAAUCUUAACACUCCCCCUCAAGUUGAAGCAUGUAUAUCUAGCAUGUUCAACUUGGUUGUUAGCCUCUUAAACACUUUUCCUCCAAGAGCUUUUGUAAAAAUGUCUGCCAACUGUAAAUGAGAUGGAACAAAUUUCGUGAUUAUCUGACCAUCUUGUAUUUUCUCCCUUACUCCAUGACAAUCAAGGUCUAUGUGUUUGGUGCGUUCAUGAUAUACCAGAUUUGUUGCUAUGUGAAGAGCAGCUUGGUUAUCAUAUAAUAGCCUUGCUGGUCCUAUGGAAAUUUGCAUAUCAUUGAAUAAAAAUCUAAGCCAAGUGAGCUCACAGGUUGCUGCUGCCAUGGACCUGUACUCAACUUCUGAUGAUGAUCUUGAGACUGUUUUCUACUUCUUUACUUUCCAAGAAAUCAAAGAAUCCCCUAAGAACACACAAUAACAUGUUGUUGAUCUUCUUGUUAUAGGACAAGUUGCCCAAUUAGCAUCACAGUAAGCCUUUAAAGUAAAGGAACUGCUUGAGGAGAAUAACAAACCUAAACCAGGGUUGCCCUUUAAAUAUUUAAUAAUACGAAGAGCAGCAUCCCAGUGAGGCUUUCUUGGAGCAUGCAUAAAUUGGCUUAAGAUGUUAACUGAGUAUGUAAUGUAUGGUCUCGUAAUUGUGAGAUAUAUUAGUCGGCCAACUAAUCUCCUGUAGCGAGUUGGAUUAUGCAGCAAAUCACCUUAAUGGUUUGUGAGCUUCAAAUUCAUCUCCAUGGGAAAAUUUACCAGUUGAGCACCCAAGUAUCCAACAUCAUCUAUGAUUUCUAAGGUAUAUUUUCGUUGAGAGAUAACAAGACCUGCUUUAGACCUUGCAACUUCCAGCCCAAGAAAAUAUUUAAGAAGACCGAGAUCUUUGAUAUGAAAUUGUUGGUGAAGAAAUUGUUUGAGAUUAUGUAGAGCGACUGCAUCAUUUCUGGUUAUCACCAUAUCAUCUACAUAAAUAAGAACUGUGGUUAUAGAUGUGCCAUUUGUCUUUACAAACAACGAGUAAUCCGAAUGUGAUUGAAUAAAGCCAGCUUUCUUGACAGCAUGAGAAAAUUUCGCAAACCAAUUGCGAGGAGCUUGUUUAAGCCCAUAAAGGGACUUAUGAAGUUGACAAACAAGCUUCUCCCCCUGUUGACAAAGUCCCGGCGGUGGAGUCAUAUAUACUUAUUCUUCUAAAUCACCAUGCAAAAAAACAUUGGUCACAUCCAUUUGAUACAAUGGCCAAUGUCUUGCAGCAACCACAACAAGUAAACAACGAACAGUGGUCAAUUUAGCCACAGGAGCAAAUGUCUCAGUGUAAUCCAGGCCUUCUUAUUGAGAAAAUCCUUUGGCGACUAAUCGAGCUUUGUAACGUUCAAUCGUACCAUUAGAAUUGUAUUUGAUACGAUAAACCCAUUUGCUGCCAAUGGGUUGAUGACCAGCAGGUAAAGGGACCAAGGACCAUGUCUUCUAUGAAUUGAGAGCAUCAAGUUCACGUUGCAUAGCCUCUUUCCAUUUCGGAUCCAAUACAGCCUGAGCAUAAGAGGUUGGUUCUAGGACACUUGAAAUGGUGUUAACAAAGUGUUUAUGAGUAGAAGACAAAGAUAAUGUAUUUGCUUAAAGGAUAUUGAGUACCUGACUUAGUUGAAAAUCACUGACUUGAAGCUGUAGUUGAUGGUGUUGUACUAAUCUGUCCACAAUGAAAGUCACGAAGGAGAACAGAUUGUUGCCUUACAUGGUCACUUUUUACAAAUAUGAGGGGCAGGAUAAGAUAUAGAGGAAGAAGGGGAAGAAGUUGAUGACAAUAAAGGAUUAAGAGAGGGAAUAAUAGUCUCUGAUGCUGGAGGGACAGGAUGAGUUACAGAAGGAGAUAGAUCAUCGAUGUAAUCUAAUAUCUCAGGCUGAGGAAAAGGGCUAUCUAAUGAUUUUUUGAUACGAAGAAAAGGAAAAAUAGACUCAUGAAAAAUGACAUCACGACUGGAAAAGAAUUGGUGAGUAUGGAGAUCAUAUAAUCGAUAGGCUUUUUGGCCUAUAGAGUAACCAACAAAUAUGCAUUGUCGAGCCCGAGAAUCAAACUUAUUAGACGACUGUAGAUUUGUUGCAUAAUAGAGACAUCCAAAAACUCGUAAGUGAGUGUAGUUAGGUGGCUUAUUAUACAACAACUUAUAUGGAGAUUUAUAUUGCAACAAGGGAGUGGGAAGACGAUUUAUAACAUAGGCUGCAGUAAGUAAACUCUCCCCCCAAAAUUUUAAAGGAAGAUUGGCAUCAAUUCUCAAAGCCCGACUAACGUUUAAGAGAUGACGAUGUUUUCGUUCAACGCACCAUUUUGUUGAGGUGUAGAUAGACAGGAGCUUUGAAAUAAAAUACCAAGGGUUGAUAAAUAAGGUUUCAUGGAAAGAAAUUCUGAGCCAUUAUCACUUCUAAGAUAUUUAACUUGACAAUUAAAUUGAGUGUUCACAAAAGAAAUAAAUGUUUUUAUUAAUCCUUGGGUUUCAGAUUUAAAUUUCAUUAAAAAAAUCCAAGUGAAACGAGUGUAAUCAUCAACUAUAGUCAGGAAAUAAUGUGCCCCUAUAUGAGUUGCAGUACGAAAAGGUCCCCAAAUAUCACAAUAAAUAAGAUCAAAUGAAUGCAAAGUUUGAAUAGAACUUGAAGAAAAUGGUAAACGAGUUUGCUUUGCCAAAGGGCAAGUUUCACAGGAAUGUUGAGAAUCAAAUACGAAUGCAGGAAUAAUAUUGCUUAAAAAUUGUGAAGGUGCUUUUGAGGGAUGUCCUAACCGCUUGUGCCAAGUAAUAUGUGUAGUAGAAUCAGCAUGAUGGGUGAUUGAAAAAGAAGUUAGUGUAGACUUCACUUGAGGAACAAAGUAGUACAAGCCAUUAAGCUGCUUCCCCAAGCCAAUCAUCUUCUUCGAAGCUAGGUCCUGCAAUAUACAGAAAGUGGGAAAAAAAUGGAUUGAACAAUUCAUGGCAGCAGUAAGUUGACUCACUAAAAGUAAAUUAACAUGAAAUGAUGGUGCACAUAAUACAUUAUUAACAUGUAGAUGGUUUGAGAGUUGUGUUGAGCCAAUUUCAGUUAUCUUAGAAUAGGCACCAUUAGGCAAGGUUACUUGAGAUGACAUAUGAGUUUUAAUAGGUAUUGAAGUUGCUAUGUGAUUUGUUGCACCACUAUCAAUAAUCUAGUUAUUCAAGUCUGUCUUUUGCGUAUUGAAAAAUGAACAGAAAGGUAUAAGGAUACCUGUGUAGUUUGCUCGAGCAGGAUUGUUACCAUUUCUAAAGAAAGCUUUUAUUUGGGCAAGCUGGGAAAAAUCACCUUGAGAGAAACGUUCUUGAAGGUCAGUCCAAAUCUUUGAGGGCGUCUCUAAAUAGAGUACACUAUUUGCAAGCUCCUGAUUUAGAGAGUUAAGGAUCCAGGAAAGCACCAUAUCGUUGCAGCGCUGCCAUAAAGAAUGUUUUGGAUCAUCUUCAUCUGGUGUGUGAAUGGUUCCUUUGAUGAAUCCCAGUUUGUUUUUUGUAUUAAGACUCACUAGCAUAGAUCUCUUCCAAAUAGCAUAAUUUGUUCCAUCUAAGACUUUUGGAACAAGAAUCAUGCCAGGAUGAUCAGAAGCAUGAAGAAAAAUAGGGUCUGAGGAAUCAACCGUAGACAUAGACAUAGUGUGAUGAGAGGUUUGAGAAGAUAUAUGAUUUGGUGGAUGAUUGUGACUGCUAUCACUAUCAAUAUCAAUAUCAUCCAUAAAAAAAAAGAAGCGAAAGUGUUUUACCGAAUCAAAACCAUUGCUCUGAUACCAUGAAAAAAUGACAUUUGAAAAGAACACUGAUUUUAUUCUUCUAUAUGUAUUGCAGUAGAAUUACAGAGAAUUUAUAUAUGAGUUUACAAGAGCAAAUAUUCACAAAACAAAGGAAAGUAAAUAACGAUCCUAUAUUCAAAGGGAUUACAAAUCAGCCAUAUAUAAGGAAACAAUCUCUCUCAAUUAGUCAAGUAAAGCCAAUGAAAUCUUAACACAAUAUGUUGUUGUGGAUUUAUUUUGUUUUUUAAUUAUGAUUGAGAGAAGUCACUUCAAUUUUUUGGAUACGAUAUAAACAGUAGCCAAAUAAUAAAAUAUAUUGUGGUUAAAAAUAAUGUGAGACUACAUUACAUAGAUUUUGUAAUGAAGGGUUCUGUCAUAAAAUGUUAAUUUUAAUGACUAAAUGUAGUUGUUGCAAAGGUCAUUUAUUUUUUUUUUUAUACAAUUAACUGGUCAUGAAAUAACAAAAUAAAUUGUCCUUAAAACAAAUUUUUUAUUUGGGAUGAUUAUGUAAUGUUGUGAUAAAUAAACUUCAACAGUAGAAAAAAGCGUUGCUAAUUAUAUUUUCGAACCUCUAAAAUGACGAUUUUUAGUAAUUAUUGCGACUAUAUUUUACAUAAUCUUGAGAUAAAUAUUAUAGUCACUAUAAAUCAUUUAUCAUGACAAAUGUCAAAUAUCGUUGAUUGCAUUUUUGAAUCUCUAAUUUGGUCAUUUUGAAUACCAUUUGUGAUGAUUUUAACUUAAUUUUAAGACAAUGAUUUUUAUCACAAAAAAUAUAUUUUUAACAUGACCAAAAUAAUUUUGGUCGUUAAAAUAUUUUAAGAUGGUCUUUUCACGACUAACAUGUGACAAUUUAUUUUUUGUCGUAAAACAUAUAAAGUGACUAACUUAUUAUCUUUGGUUACUAAAUUUUUUGUAAUAAAAUAUUAUUUUUCUUGUAAUGGGAAUUAAAGCAAUAGUUUAGAUCAAAAUAGGUAGGAUAUUUAUUUGGCGUUUUUAGAUUACCACCUAACAAUGAAGGGCAAGCAAUGGAUGAAAAAGUGAGGAGACUAAUAAUAGUUAUUAAUCAUAGAACUCAAUCAAUGCUAACAUAAUUCUAUGACCAAAAUGAUGGCAAUAAUGCUACUUUGAAUAUAGUCCAUAAUAUAGUUUCCAAUACAUAACAAUGAAUAUAGUUCAUAAUACAUGACAGUCCAGUUGGUUAGCAUGACAAUAAGCAAAUGUUGGGUUGUUGAUCAAAUAAAGAGUGAUUAAAUAUGAAUGUCAUAUUCAUGGAAAAAGAAAAGGAAAAUAUGAAUGAGAUAUUUAGUUGAAUAUGUUCAAAUAUGUAAAGAUCUUAUCAAAUGUCAAGAUCCUAGCAUUAUUGAUUAUUUCAUGUGCAUAUUUAAUCACUCUUCAUUUCAUUGUAGUGAAUAAAUUAAAAAUUGAUUUCAUUGUCAUUCUAUUUGAUAAUUUCAAGUAAUUUUGUUCAUCCUAUCUUUUAAAAAAGAAAAGAAACUUGACAACGGAAAGUUUGGUGAACACAUUUAUACCUGUUGAACAGUGCAUACAACCAGGCACCACCGCCGCAGCUAAAGGUCCAUGAGUUAAAAUUUUGUUUUUACUUGCGUAGCCUCUAGGGUUGGUGUAAAUAAAAGUCUUAAAUGAAACAUUAUAUUAAUAUUUAAUUGUGUAACCACUCUGACAAGUACAAGGCUACAAUUUCAUUAGGAAAUCCAAUAUAAUUUUUAAUGGAUCACUCUCUUGGAUGGCAAUUUUACCUGCCAACCCAAAAAAUCUCAUUUAUUAAAAUUAUAACUAACAAUUAGUAAAACGAGAAAAAGUAGUGUUGAUACACAUUGAUAAUAGUCACAUAUUAUAUAUGAUUUUGAUAUGAAUUGAAUCAAUAUAUCAAAAUCAUAGAUAUUGAAUUGGCGUUUGUAGAUUACCACCUAACAAUGAGGGGGAAGCAAUGGGUGAAAAGGUGAGGAGACUAAAACGAUAGUUAUUAAUCAUAGAACUCAAUCGAUAAUAACAUAAUUCUAUGACCAAAAUGAUGGCAAUAAUGCUACUUUGCCCUAAUACAGACCAGUAUGACCAAAAUGUUGAAGAAGACCCAUAUUAAUGCAGGUUUUAAUUGCAAGCCAUUAUAUAGCUUUGGCACAUUUUCAGUUUUCACGUUAUUGUUAUCUAUUAUCAUAAAGAAUAAUGAUACUCGUAGGAAAAAAAGCACAAAAAUACAAAAGACAAUAUUUAUUUAUUUACAAGUCAAAUAUAUAUUGUCUAACACUGAAUUUUUUUUUCUAAUGCAGUGCUAUUUUUUGUGCACAUAUCAUUAUUCUAUUGCUAAUGAAAUGCAGGAUGUGGAAUCAAAUUAGUUAUAUUCGGUUAUACAAGCUGAGGUGGAAAGCUGAGUCAGCAAGGGUGGGUCCCCAGGUGGUUUAAUUAGUUGUUAUAACCAGCUGUACUAACUGAUAGUUAUAAGAAGAAGCUUCAGAAAAAGAGCUGAUUAGCGUGAGGUUAUCGAGAACAUUAGUGUGAGUUUGUUGAGAGAAGAAACUCUCUGUGUGAGUGUUAUCAAGUUCUUGCUCUCUGUGAGACUCCAUUGUAACAUUUUUAGUUCAUCUUCUAAUAAAACUCUAGCUCUGUUGUUCCUGAUCGUGGAUGUAGGUACCUUGGUACCGAGCCACGUUACCUUUGUCUUGAGUCUUUAAAGUUCUUUAUCUUGCUCUGUUGUAACUGGUGGUGGUCUUAGGUUCUCCUGGGUUUUUGCUUUGGUUGUGUUUAGUUAUUGCAUCAGUAGAGUUGCUAGGUUGAUCAAAAGGUCCAACAAACUGGUAUCAGAGCUUGGUCCAUCUAUCUUGCUCUGAGAAAUUCUCAAAAAUGGGAUCUACAAGAUUCGAUCUUAAAAAGUUUAAUGGAGAAAAUGACUUCUAUUUGUAGAGUCUUAAAAUGAGGGCAAUCAUCAUUCAACAAGGGUUGAAUACUGCACUCGAAGAAGAUGAAGAUUCAAAAGUCCAGAAAGGGAAGGAAGAAUGAUCAUCUAGUACUGGUGCAGAUAAAAGAAUCAUAAUUAUAUUUGGUCCAAAAUCCAAUGCAUAUCCAAUAUUCACUUGUCUAUGCAUAUCCAACAUUUUCUUGUGCACAUGCAUGUCAAAAUGUUGCCAUUCUGAUAGUAAGUUGAAUGAUAAGGUCUUAAUUCAAGUUGUUCUGUACACUAGCAUCUUAAUUGCACUUUCUCUGUCACAGAGUAUUUGAAUAUGUUUGAAGCAAGUUCAGCCCCCAAAUGAAUCAAUAGUUGAAAAACAGAAACUAUUUUCAGAACCAAUCAGGAUUAUUGAGAAAUACUGCUGUACCGUACAUCCGCCUUGGCCGUACAGCAGUAAAGGAUGUAAAGAAUGCCUUGGAAUCGAAGGACUUAAAGAGAAGAACAUAUGGAAAGGAUCUAAACCCUGCUAAAAGCUUAGUUGCCAGAGCUAAACCUGAUAAGAAAUUCAACAAAGAUAAGAAGAACAACAACCAGAAAGACAAAGGAGACAAGAAAAAAAAGAAAAGAAAGUGUUAUUUUUGGGACAAAGAAGGACAUUACAUCAAAGACUUUUUUGAGAAGAAGAGGCUGGAAAAAUUACAGAAAGAAACAAAUGGGAAGGCUGCUGUAGCCUCAGAAGAUGAAGGAAUAUCAUAUUAUGCAGAUGUUCUCAUUGCUGCAGAAAAGCAACCUUCAGGUGAGUGGAUACUCGACUCAGGUUGCUCCUUCCAUAUGUGUCCAAAUAUAGAUUUCUUUAAGACAUUUGAAUAAGUUGAUGGUGGGAAGGUCUUGCUUGGUAACAAUCUUGCCUGUAAAGUAGCUGGAAUUGGAACCAUUAAUAUUAGGAUGUUUGAUGAGAUUGAAAGAGAUCUAAAACAGGUCAGAUAUGUCCCAGAAUUAAAAAGGAAUCUAAUAUCCUUAGGAGUAAUAGAUCAGGUAGGCUGUAGUAUAAAAUCAGAAAAUGGUAACCUUCAGAUUGAAGAAAAUGGUCUGGUCAUAAUGAAGGGCAUAAGAAGAAAUGGUUUAUAUGUACUCACUGGCUCAACAGCUAAACUAGCAAUCACAGCUAGUGUAAGCAGUGAUAGAACCAAACUAUGGCACAUGAGGUUAACACACAUGGGUGAGAAUGGAAUGAAAGAACUGAGCAAGCAAGGGCUGCUGGGAAAUGAUAUGAUCACCUCUUUACAGUUUUGUGAAAAAUGUGUGUUUGGGAAAGUAACAAGGCAUAGGUUCAACCCUGGAAAAAAGGAAACUAAACAAACUUUAGACUAUGUUCAUUCAGACCUUUGAGGUCCAUCACAAGUCCCUUCUCAUGGUGGAGCCAGAUACUUCAUAACCUUCAUAGAUGACUACUCCAAAAGAGUGUGGGUCUAUAUGCUGAAACAUAAGAAUAAAGCCUUUGAAAGAUUUAAAUAGUGGACUGCACUCAUGGAAAAUCAAACAGAAAAAGGGCUUAAGAGACUAAGAACAGACAAUGGUUUAGAAUAUUAUAACAAAGACUUUGAAAAUUUCUGUAAGUCAAAGGGCAUUGCUAGGCACAGGACAGUUAGAAACACUCCCCAACAAAAUGGGUUGGCUGAAAGAAUGAAUAGGACCUUAAUUGAAAAGGUCAGAUGCAUGUUGUUAACUGCUAAUCUGUCUAAACACUUCUGGGCUGAGGUUGUAAAUACAGCUGUAUAUCUGAUAAACAGGAGCCCAUCAUCAACCUUGGACUUCAAAACACCUCAAGAAGUAUGGUCAGGGAAGCCACCAAAUCUUAGUAAUCUCAGGGUAUUUGGCUGCCCAGCUUAUGCACAUAUAAGUCAGGGCAAGCUAGAACCAAGGGUUGUGAAAGGAUACUUCAUAGGGUAUCCAGAAGGCAUAAAGGGAUACAAGAUUUGGUGCUUAAAUGGCAAACCAUCAAGAACUCUGAUCAGCAGAGAUGUAGUGUUUGAUGAAGAGGCUAUGUUGCAGCAAAAGGUUGGAACAGAAAUUAAAGUUUCUAAACCUUUAAAUAAAUCUGAGUUGAAGGUGGAGUCCAAAGACAUUUUGAAAGAAAGUGAAAAGAUUACAGAGUCUCAUCAUGGAGUUAACAAAGCCUCAGAACUUGAUAACUACCAGCUUGCAAGAGAUAAAGAAAGAAUGGUAGUUAAAAUGCCCAAAAGAUAUGGGAUAGCAGACCUGAUAUCUUUUGCACUGAUGGUUGUUGAUGAGAUGACUGAAGAAGAACCUGAAAAUUUCAAACAGGCUAUGACUAGCAGAGACAAGGGGAAAUGGCUGAGUGCUGUGGAAGAUGAAAUGAUAUCACUCAAGAAAAACAAUACUUGGGUUCUGGUUCAGAGACCUGCUGAAAAAAGGUUAGUGGGAUGCAAAUGGAUCUUCAAGCUCAAGGAUGGAGUUUCUAGAGAUGAAUCAGUGAGCUACAAGGCUAGACUUGUGGCAAAGGGCUUCACACAAAAUGAAGGGAUAGACUUCAAUGAAGUCUUCUCACCUGUAGUUAAACACUCCUCUAUAAGGGUCAUAUUAGCCAUCACAGCUUUCUUUGAUUUAGAACUGGACCAGAUGGAUGUGAAGACUGCCUUCUUACAUGGAAACUUAAAAGAAGAAAUUCUAAUGGCACAACCAGAGGGCUUCGUUGAAGAAAGAACUGAAGACAUGGUUUGCUUACUUAAGAAAAGUUUAUAUGGGUUGAAGCAAUCUCCUCGGCAAUGGUACUUAAGAUUUGAUGAGUUUAUGUUAAGUCAUAACUUCAACAGAAGUGAAUAUGACAACUGUGUGUACUUUAGAAAACUGAACUCAGGAGAUCAAAUCAGUCUACUUCUCUAUGUUGAUAACAUGCUCAUAGCAUAUAAACAUAAAGAAGAAAUUAAUAAGCUCAAGGCUGAGUUAAUGGCAGUAUUCGAAAUGAAAGAUUUGGGUCUUGCUGCUAAGAUACUAGGAAUGCAAAUAAAGAGGGCAGACAUGCCAAGACUUUAUUUCUCACUCAAACAGGAUAUCUAAAAAGGGUUGUCAAUAGAUUUGGGAUAGUGAACUCAAAACAUGUCACUACUCCAGUAGCAACACACUUCAAACUCUCCAAGCAACAUGCUCCACAAGAAGAAGCAGACAUUGAUCACAUGAGGAGAAUUCCAUACUCUAGUGCAGUUGGUAGCAUUAUGUAUGCUAUGGUCUGCACUAGAUCAAAUGUUGUAUAUGGGAUUGGCCUUGUUAGCAUGUUCAUGGGGAAUCCAGGCAAAGAGCAUUGGGAGGCUAUUAAAUGGCUACUAAGGUAUCUUAGAGGUACAGAAGGACAUGGAGUGAUGUUUGGACAGGUCAGCAAUGCCUCAAGCAAGGUUUUGGGGUAUGUUGAUUCUGAUUUUGCUGGAGAUUUAGACAAGAGAAGAUCUGUCACUGGUCUUGUAUUUACCCUCUGUGGUGGAGCUGUGAGCUGGAAGUCAACACUACAAUCAGUAGUUGCCCUUUCAACAACAGAGGCAGAGUAUAUUGCUUUAACAGAGGCUGUGAAAGAAGCAUUAUGGUUGAAGGGGUUAGUCACAGAACUGGGUUUGGAACAAGAAUCAGUCACUGUCAAUUGUGAUAGCUCAAGUGCAAUACAGUUGAGCAAAAACCCCAAAUAUCAUGAAAGAACUAAGCAUGCGGAUGUGAGGAUGCACUUUAUUAGGGAUAAAAUUCGAAGUGGUGUGAUUAAUGUCAUUAAAAUUCCUACUGAAGUAAAUCCAGCAGACAUGUUAACGAAGCCUUUACCAACAGUUAAGUUCAGGAACUCCUUGGACUUGAUUGGGGUUAUUAACUUGUAAGUCAAGUUAACUAAUAUUCUGGAGCAGUAAUGAGUAGAGUUAUAACCGAGUAAACUAAGGUGGAGAUUUGUGGAAUCAAAUUAGUUAUAUUCGGUUAUACAAGCUGAUGUGGAAAGCUGAGUCAGCAAGGGUGGGUCCCCAAGUGGUUUAAUUAGUUGUUAUAACCAGCUGUACUAACUGAUAGCUAUAAGAAGAAGCUUCAGAAAGAGAGCUAAUUAGCGUGAGGUUAUCGAGAACAUUAGUGUGAGUUUGUUGAGAGAAUAAACUCUCUGUGUGAGUGUUAUCAAGUUCUUACUCUCUGUGAGACUCCAUUGUAACCUUCUUAGUUCAUCUUCUAAUAAAACUCUAGUUCUGUUGUUCCUGAUCGUGGAUGUAGGUACCUUGAUAUCGAACCACGUUACCUUUGUCUUCAGUCUUUAAAGUUCUUUAUCUUGCUCUGUUGUAUCUGGUGGUGGUCUUAGGUUCUCCUGGGUUUUUGCUUUGGUUGUGUUUAGUUAUUGCAUCAGUAGAGUUGCUAGGUUGAUCAGAAGGUCCAACACAGGACAUUUGAGUCCUUUCAAUAAUUCAUGUAUUUUUUAUUCUGCUUUGCUUCGUGCAAGGUAGCAUAAUUGUUGGUUUCUACUAAUUCUAUUGAGUGAUGAAUGAUGAUACAAUCACCGCAUGGGCGGAGAGCCCGAGGUUAGGCCUAAAAAGUCAAAAAAAGAAAAAAAAAAGUUUAACAUAGAAUGAUACUAUUUGUAUAUAAAAUUACACGUGACCACUAAAAAUAAGACAUAUUUCACUAAAAAAUAAAUUCAUUUACAUAGAAAUAUAAAAUAUUCUCUCAAAUUUUCAUUCUAAAUAAUGUGUCAUAUGAUGUUCAUUCAUUAAAUUGUUAAUUAUUUUUCAUAAAUUUUAAGCGAAUUAAUUGUAUUAUCUCAUCAAACAAUGAAUGAAUGUCAAAUUAAUUGAGGUAAAAUUUUGUGAUGUAUAGCACUACUCUAUUUAAUUUUAUCCAUAUGUACAAGUUAACAGAGCUUGAGUUUUUAGGGUAAUGGCUCACAUUUCUCAUUCAUUAGUAUAAUCAGAGACUAACAAAAUAUUGUUACAGAUCUUGAGAACUAGUGUUGUGAUUUUUAUAGUUGAGAAAAGAUAGAAAAAUACAAAAUUAAAAAAUAUUUGAAUAAAUAAUAGUUACAGCUAAGGAUAAUAAUUUGCUGUUAUGCUCCCUAAAGACGGAGCUUGGGAGAGAAGUCCAAUCUUGACCUUGAGAGUGAGAAAACGGGCUCAUGGAAGAGGCUUGGUGAGAGCUUCAGCUAUCUGAUAUGCAGAAGACACAUGAGUAACAUGAAGAGCACCACGUUGGACUCUAUCUCUUAUGAAAUGAAAGUCAAUAGCAACAUGCUUCAUUCUUGAACGAAAAAAUGGGACUAUAACAGAGUUGAUUGGCCCCAGUAUUAUCACUCAGUAUAUAUCAUUGUACAACAGAAAAUGCUAACACCAAGAUCAAAUAAGAGAUAGCAAACCCAAUUUAGAUCCAUCAAUAAAACCAAAUAGAUCAUAGCCAAUGAAUAAGAUAUUAAAUUGCAACUUUCAUGAGAUGUAGUUACUGGAUGUGAGUUUAAGAGGAGUUUGAGCUAACAUAAGGGGUUCGGGCUGAUCAAACAUCAUUUUCCAAUUCUAUUACUCGACUCGUGACAUGACAGUGCUGAGCUAGCAACUUACUAGAGCUAACAGUGAUUUAGUUACACGCUGAAUAGACUUGAAACAGGGGUUUAAAAGCUGGUGACCAGUGCACAUUUCUAAGCAAUUUUCUUGUUAUUGAGUGAGAUUAAAGAAGAUUGCAAACCGGGCAUUUGUUCUCUGAGGAGUGUAUAAUGUAAUCUUUAGUUGACAUUCCUUGAUGAAACAUGCUUAUUGUCACGGGAUAAAUAUUUUGCGCAGCAACUCAUGUGGUACUUAAAUAACUUUUAGAACAAAAAUUGUUAAGUAAGCUUAGAGAAUUUCUCAAGCUAGCCAAACAAGGAUACUUGAGAGAAAGCUAGAGAGAGGAGAGAAAUAUGGCCAAAGUAAAUUUUAUUACUCGAAAGAGAGAAUAUAAGAGAGCUUUACAAUAAUGCUUGAGUUGUUUGCUUAGUGUGUUGUGUGUGGUGUGGUGUUUAGUGUUGUGGUGUUAAGAAAAAUGGUUGACGUCAUGCCUUAUUUAUAGAGUGACUCACCUAGGUCUAGAUGGUUCCAUGCAAGUUUUUGUAAGUUGCCUAAAAAUCUAUUAGAUUCUAGAAUACGUAAGUAUAUAAUUAUUUAGACAAUAUAAGUUGCAGAGAUUUAUAAAGAGUUCUAGAAUCAGGCUGGACUCACUCACUUUAGUUUGUGAAUUUACGAGUACACCACGGGUCGCUAAUUAUAUGAGGUAGCUCACUGUUGACCAUACUCUACUGCUAAGCGCAUCCUAUCUUUGAGCGGACUUUUAUUGAGGAAACCCUUGUGCGUCAAUUUAGUCUCCGUGACAAACUUGAGUAGGCCGUGAGCGUGACAUUACGUUGUUUUCUCUCUUGGAUGUAGGCAACCUUACCAAGCCACGUAUAUUGUCCUCAGUGUUCUUGAUUUUACUUUGCGUUGUUAAUUUAUCAUGAGGACAAGACUAAAUAACAAAAGUUUUAAGCACAAAAAAAUGGGAGCCUGUAAGUUACAAUAAUUGUAACAUACAUCUUUCAUGUGAACCACACAAAAUUAUAGGACCCACAGUUUGUGUGGUUCACAUGAGGAAUGUAUGUUACAAUUAUUGUAACUUAGCAUUUGCCCAAAAAAAUAGAAGAAAGGGAAGAUACGCAACCUUGUGCAGAGCAGGCCAGCACAUCUCUUCUUGUUCUGGCUUUCUGAGGUGGAUGGCCCCACUACAAUAAUUUUUAAUAUUUUAAAGAAAAAGGAGCCCAACAAUUUUUACAAAAACCCCCCAAUGGUCCACCGUCUAACUUUAACAUAAAGAUUUAUUUUUAUCAACAAAAAAAAGAUAAAGAUUUAUUAAAAAAAAAUUGUAAGAGUGAAGUAACUGUUCUGAGUUUUAUUGUGGAUUUCAUCUAACCCAAUUUUAUGAAUUGUUUGAAUUCCAUAAACUUCCGCUAGUGGUUCAUAUAUAUGGCGGAGGCUUUUGCAUCUAUUCUGCCUUUCAUCCUACUUACCAUAAAGUUAUUGCAGUCUUCUUUGACCAUCGACGAGCUCCUGAGAAUCAUGUCCUUUGUGCUCGUGAAGAUUCAUGGGCUGCACUCAAAUGGGUUGCUUCCCAUACUAAUGGACAAGGUCUUAUGGAUUGGCUUAACCAUUAUGCUAGUUAAAUGAAGUGAUUUAGGAAUCACAAGUCAAAAGAGAGGCAAAUUAAUUCCAUAUAAAUAUGGCCAAAUUUUUAAUUUUGAAAAAAAAAAAAGUAAAGUCCGGAUUUUUGAGACUUUAAAUGCGUUUGAGUAAACAAUUGGAAGAACCAAACCUCUAAAUUGAUUUAAAAAUUUUUGAACCCACUGCCCAAAUCUAAAUUCUUAGAUCCGCCACUUCUUAAUGAAGCUAGCUUAGGCUUUUUUUCUCUUCUUAUAUAAGCAACCUUAUCAAGCCGCAUAAAUUGUUCGUGCAGAUUGUUCUCGAUUUGAUAUAAUUUGCUUGUCUCUUUAAUCUUUCAUUGAUUUUGCCCAUCUCUUUGAUCUUUCAUUCGUUAGUCUUGUUCUUAAUUAACGUUAAAAGUCCUUAUAACGAAACAAUGUCCGUAUUGGAGAAGACAGCAUUUGGGGAAUCCAUUGAUGCUGAAACUUUAUCGGUGCCAAAGAACCCUUCCCCAUGCCCAUCUGUAUGCACGAAAACAUGGAAGAAACUCAUGUGCAAGUGCUCUUGAUUUUGAAUCCAUUGUUGCAAUAUGAUUAGAGUCAUAAUAUAGUUAUAAAUUCUUGUAUAAAUUUAUUUUAUACAAAUUGACGUAACAUUAAUUCAUUAGUUAAAUGAAAAUAUAAAAUAAUAAAAAUAAAUCAUAUGGGGCAAGUGAUAUUUAAUUCAAUUAAUUUUAUCAUAGUAUAUCAAUUUGUAUAAAAUAAAUUUGUAUAAAACUUUCUGACUAUUAUAUAAAGAGUAGCAGUACAAAGACAUUAUGAAAAAUUGCUUAAAAAAAAAUAUUUUGACAGUUUUAUUUCUUUGGUUGGUGAUUUCGUGCUUUCUGGGACAGAAAAAGGGCCAAGUUUGGUCGUGUUUGUCAUAAAACUUCUUUGCUUUUAUCGGAAAAAUUGUAAAAUGAAACAAAGCCACGCAAAACCGGCUGUACAAUAGUAUCACGGUUCCCAAUGGACAUCCACGCGGUCCAUCAUAUGACUUCACAUCCCGCUUUUUCUUUAAAAAAGUUCCUAGCUAGAAGGAAAAAAAAAAUAAUUAUAAAAUAAAAAAUAAUAAUAUAUAAUAAAUAUAAUUUUUAAAUAAUAAUUUUAAUAAAAUUAGUAAUGAUAUAAUAAUUUUUGAUUAUUCAAAUAUAAAAUUAAAUUACCUUAACUUUCAAGUUAUAAUAAAUAGUAUUUACCAAAUACUUAAUAUUAUACAUUUUAACUUACAACUAUCCAACCUUAAUUUUAAAUAAGACAUUACUCUCAAAAACCAAUUCUUAAAAUAUGAGUGUCUAUGAAUUUCACUUAUACUAUCAUCUACUAUUUAAAUUGUUAUAUUUAGCUCAUGCGGGGUAGGACUUAGGAUCCCUAUCUAUUUAAGAAAGAUUUGACAUAAAUAUAUAUAAUGUUUAUAAAUCAUAAUGUCGAUUUUAAAAUCAUGGCAAUUUAAUUUCUAAAAUAGUGCAAUUAACUAUCCAUUGAAGCAAACUUUGCCACCUUAAAUUUUUUAUUGCAAAAAUCUGUAAGAAAUCGAAUUGAAUUGAAUUACAAAAUUGGGAUGAUGAUAGCGGCUAGAACAUGAAAGCCAAGCAUCUCCCGUUUUUGCUAAGGAAAUUCAUUCGGUAAUUGGCUAUGUGUCCAGUUGUGAGUUUCGUGACACUUUUCCAUCAGACUUUUAAUGGAUAAAAGAAAAAAACUUUUGACAAUAAUAGUGGGCUUUACGUUAAUUAAUAGAAGAAUAUGAGUAUUUAAGGGUCUGUUCGGUAACGUGUUAUGGGCUCUAUUUUCAUUUUCCUUUUAUGAAUCUAAGUUAAUACAUGUUUGAUGGUUGAAAUUUUAAAAAAAAUUGUAAAACAAAAAAGCUGAGAUUCACUUUUAUAACUAUUAAAGUGAGAACAUGUCACGUAUUACAAAACUAAACUAAAAAUAAAUUAAAAAAUAAAAUCUAAAAGUCUCGGCCUUCUCUCUUUAUCCUUAUUUCUUUGUCCAAUAGUGCUGACUCUCGCUCCUUAUCCCUCUCGAUUUACUAACAGUGGCGAUUAUUCUCUCUCGGUGUGCCCAAAUCAGCUGUUGUACUCCAUCUUUGUUGCCGCUGCUAAUUCCCCUCAACCAUUGUUGUUCCUCCGUCUCCGCCGCUGCUGCUCCAUCUCGACUAUCUCGUUUGUUGUUGCUCCUCUCUCGACUCCAUCUCUGCUAUUGUGAGUUAUUGGUAUUUAUUUAGGGUACUUAUCCACCAUCCACUUUUUUUUUUCAUACUUUUUCAAAAAUACACAAAUCUUAAUUUUUUUUGCUGAGCUCCACUUGAAGUUUUAUUUUUUUAUAUAUGUCCGCUGCCAUCUUCAAACCGUUAAGAAAACUAACGGAAUAUUGUCCAAAUUAAGUUUUUGAAGCAUAGGUGAAAUUAUUAUAAUACCCUUAUGAUGUCAGAAAAUUCUUAACGGUUUAAAGACAACAGUGGACAUAUGCAAAAAAUUAUAACUUCAAGUGGAGCUUAGUAAAAAAAAAUUAAGAAUUGUAUAUUUUUAAAAAAGUGUGAAAAAAUAGGUGGACGGUGGAUAAUUACCCUUUUUUGUAUUUGAGUAAAUUUUUACUAUUAUUAUCAUACUAUUUUGUUUUGUGAUCAUGAUCAUGAAAUAAAAAUUGUGGAUAAUAAAGUCCGAGCCUGACCCGACAAUAUAAAUAAAGGACCCGAACCCGAUAAAAAACUUGAAUUUUCACUUUCGGAGACCAACCAUAAUAUUUUUUUAAUAUUUAAAUAUUUUAAAUUUACCUCCCCUAAUAUAUUCAAAUUAAAUAUAAAAAUUACUCCAAUCAAUAUCUCAACUAUAAAAUCAUAUAAAUAACUAAACAUAAAAAAAAAAUCAUGUCUAAUUCAAAUAAAGUCACACAAUUCAAAUUAAAACACACUUUUUUUUUACUAUUAAGUAAUCGGGUCGAGUCGGGUUGGGUCGGCUAAUUAUUGAGUAAUCGGGUAGAGUCGAGUCAGAGUUCAGGCUUUUGAUCGGGCUUUUAUUUUUAAGCCUAAGCUCGAAUUUUGACCCUUAACUUCGGGUCAAAACCCAAAAAAAUCGAGCUGGAUCAAUUGGACCAAAAUUCAAGUCGGGGUUUUUGGCCAUCUCUAAGGUGAUUGUAUUGCUAGCCAAGAUUUCAUCAAUUCUAUUCUAGGAGUUGGACCAUAAAAUAGGGACCGAUUAAAUAUUUAUUUUGUAAAUAUGAUUUUGUUGUUCUUAUUUGGAAUUGGUUGUCUUUUUGUGUUGGAAAAUCAUGCAAAGGCAUAUUAUUUACCAUUUUGAGGCGGAGUUUCACAGCAAAGCAUGUGGGUGUUGUGAGUUAUUGACAGUAAUGGUUGUUCUUGUCUAAUUCCAUUGUCAUUUCAUUUAUUUAUUAGGGACCAAAAGCAUAUUAAUGCAAAAAUUGUAGAGAUUAGCGUGAACUGAUUGUAAUAAUAUCAUGUUGUAUUCAUUUAGAUGCGAUUGGUUUAGUGUACAUUACCUUGAUUUCAUUUUUCUUAAAUUUUUGUUGUGCUGUGAAAAAAUGAGUUAAAGAUAAAAACUUUUGACAAGAGCUUGGUCUUAAUUUGAAUUGAUCAAUUUGUAGUAGAAUACAUUUUAUUUUGAUAUGUUCAAAUUUUAAUCUAUGACACAUUACUAAAAUGACUUUCAUGCUAUGUUGAAUUUGAUUAACUCCAAAAGUCUGAGCUAUGUAUGUGUAGGAGCAGUUUCUUUAAUUUAAUUAAUAUUUGAUAUAUGUGAUUUUUUUAAAAUUUUUUAGUAACACGAUAUGGAUCCACAGGAUGUUGAUUGGUGAACAUAAUUAUAGUUUACGUAAGCAACGUCUAAUUCCAAUUUCAUGUUGCGUUUUACAUAAUUUUAUUCAACAAAAAAAUGUCAGUGACAGGUUGUUUGAGGACUUUGAUGUAUAAGAUAUGGUUACAAAUGAAGGAGAUAUUAGAAGGCCACUUACUACUAUUAAGUGUUGUAGAGAUGAAUGCUACAAAAGAUAAAAUUGCAUUUUAUGCGGCAUGAUUACACACGUAAUGCAUGAUGCCUAUCAUCUAAUUUUUAUAAUUAUUUUGUUUAAAUCAUAUGUGUUAUAAUAUAUAUCUUAAUUAUAGUGUAAAACAAUGAUAAUAUAAAACUUUUUUUAUUAAUGCUAAUAUUAAAAAUUUAUCAUCAUGUAAUUUUUUAUAAUUAUUUUUAUUUAAAUUAUUUAUGGUAUGUUUGGGUAUAUAUUAGUUGAAUAAUUAUUUUCUAACUACAUGUAUGACUUAAAUAUUUUAUAAAAAAUAUUUUUUAAAAUGGUACUACCGAAUACUUAUUCAUUGUUUUUAUCAUUUUCAAUUGUGUCUACCAAAUGCAUAUUACUGUUUGUAGUUUUAAAAUACAUGAUGCAGAAAAAAUUAUACUAGAUGUGUACUAAAAUUCGAAAUACAGCAACUGCAAAACACUAUCUUCAUUCUCAUUUUUGUUUUCAUAAAAUACAAAUUUGGAAACAAUACUAAUAGCCCCUAAAUAAUUUGUGCUGUGGUCAUGUUGGUCAGCCAAUAGUGAUUUUUCAUCGUGGAAAUUUUGCGGGUUUUCUAAGAUUAUGCUUUGAUGAAAAAGGAGUGUAAGAUACUGAGAUGCGUUUGAUGUCACUCCAAAACGAAAAGUAACUCAAUCUAGAUUUGGAUUAGAGGAGUCUCCAAAUCCAAGACACUAUAAAUGUGAAUGGAUGCCUUCAGAAUUAAACUGAGUGUGUUUAGGUUGAGUUCAGUUCACCUACAAUUCCAUUCGAGCUCAUUAAUAUCACUAAAAAAUGAAUAAUGAUGAAGCAGUGUUUGGAUUUGUUUGGACGUGUUCGGAUUUGGUUUUCCCAUCACUGUUGCCGUAGACAUGCUCUAUUCCAUCACCAAUGAUGUAUUCCUUCCCCGUACUUCGUCACCAUCACCGACAAUGAUAAUGUUGUGAAACUAAGUUUUGGUUUGUUAAGGUAGAGAACAAAGGGAAUAGGGAUCGUGAAAUGUAGGGGGAGUUUUAGUCCAAAAGGAUAUUGUUUGGCUAAUUAUGAUAAAUAUAAUUUUGUGGGGUUAAUUUUAAAAAAUCCGGAAUUUUUUGGGAUAUUUUUAUAAAUUUUCCUAGAUUUCUCCCUAAUAAUUGUGAGGAUAACUUUUCAAACUAUUGCUCAACAGAUUUACAUAUCGACAAAACAUUGUGAACAAAUAGAAUAUAAUGAAUUUGAAAAAUAAGCAAAUGCUUGCCUAGAACAAGGUAAAAGAACCCAACCCAAUUGGCAUCUUUAACGAUACUCCUAGUUUAUGAAGCGAGGAAUCAACCGUUACUUUUUUCCUUUUUAGGGAUAAUUGCAGAUUAUCUCCUCAUUAAUUUACUAUCUUCAAAUCUCCCAUUAUUUUUAAAAACCUUAGUUUAUCUUAUAUUUUGUUAAGAAGACCAAAAAAAAAAAAAAAUCAUCAACUCAACCUCAUUAUUCUCUUACAUUUUGAAUAAAAUAGGUUAAUUUAAGAUUGUAAACAAUAAAAUAAUAAUUUAAGGAUACUCAAUUUACAAAGAGAUAGUUUACUUUAUAUAUGUAUACUCAUUCUAUAAUGCAGGUGUCAUCCUAAUUUUUUUUUUUUCAUGCGAACACACUUUUAAACCAUAGGAUUUACUAGAGUUAAGAUCUCAACUCUUAAACUGCAUGGUUUUAUAAUUCAUUCAUAAAUAAGUUUAUAAAACCACAUGAUUUAAGAACAUAUCCGUAUUAGGGCGCCCGCAGAAUGAUUAUAUAUCUAUAUACACACACACACACACACAAAAUAUGUUCUCAAGCCAACACCAUUUUGCAUUCUUUUAUGUUUUUGUACAAUGAAAAAUUGAUUGGUGAAAAACAAUAUCAAACGCAUCCUUAAUUUCCUUCUAGAUCUCUCUCUCUUUACUAACAUUUGCAUUCUCAGAUCUAUUUGCUUUUCUCUUCUGUUUCGCUCUUGGUAUGCAAAAUGAUUCAAACUGUCAAGCCAUGUGUGGCUUUUUAUUGGGUAGUACUCUAAAGGCGCAAGAACAUGUGUUACAAAAGGACUGCUUGUAAUAUUCAAAAUUCCGUAGUUGCAGCCAAAUGUCUUUUUUGAGGCAUUUCAUCAAACAUUUAGUUACUUUCAUCAAACACCUAGUUAAACUAUAUUUCUCUUAUAAAUUAUAAUACCGGGUAUACAUAUUUUUUCAAAUUCAUAAUAAAAAUUUGUACAAAUCGAUUCGAGAUGAUUAGUUUCUGUAAUUCAAAGUAAAGAUAAGCUUUGAGAUUGGAGCGAGAGUACAAGAGGCGAAAACAACCCAUAUAAAUUCGAAUUCAAGCAUUGUCGUGGCUAAAGAAAGCAGCAGUUAUCUUGAGCAUAGACACAGCAUUUUCGCAAUAUGGAUUGCGCAAAUGGAACGCAUGCAACUCUUCUUGAGACUCAACAAUCUCCACAUCGCCUUUCCACCCACUCUCCUUCAACUUCUUACAAUAAAACCAUCCCCUAUAUCUUAGCAUAUCCUCCUCCGCAACAAAAACCAGCAUUCUGGCGCAUCCCUGCUGGCUCGCUAGGUUCGAACCAACCGCUGGAUUAAUCAAUGGAUCAUCGCAGUCAAUCAUGCUAGGAUAAACAAAUUGCCACAUUGCCUCACGCAAUUCUCUUGUUUUAACAUCAGUUGUCUCGUCAGGAAUAGGAUCCUUGCCCCAGAAGGAUGGAUGAGUUAAAACAAUCCCAAUCGUCGAGAAUUUCUUGACAAUGUCUUACUCCCAUGUGGUGAGCUAUAUUAGCGCCAGAACUGUCACCAGCGAAAAACACUCUCUGAAAGUCAGCAUAAUGGUUAAGCCAAUCUUCCGGGCCAUCCCCAUCAACAUGGGAAGCAACCCAUUUGAUUGCAGUCCGUGAAUCGUCGUGAGCACAGGGGACCGGAUUCUUCGGGGCUCUCCGAUAAUCAACCGAGACUGCUAUGAUGUUAGCUUCAGAAACUAAGUUGUUGAGGUAAUUAUUGUAAGUAGAAGAAAAGGCAGUGUGGACGCAGAAGCCUCCACCGUGAAAAUAAACCACAAGAAGAAGUUUUUGGUUUUGAUCUUUUGUGUUUUUCGGAAUGUAAAGACGAGCGGAUAGAGUAUUUUCAGGUAAAUACAAAACGUCUCUGGAAUCAACGUUUGUUUUUGGAUCAAAUGAUGGAGGAACGAUGUCAUUGCCCACAAGCCUCUCUAUUGUGCCAUCUUUGUAUAUUAUCAUCAUAGGAGAGAAAUCGUGGGCGAUUUCUGAUAAUGGCUCUGUGGAACCCAUUGAAGCAGAAAAUGUCGGCAGAGCGCCGGCAAGCCUGAAUUAGCCUUUCUAAUAAAAUAUUACUAGCAACAGCCAACAAAGAUCUUGCUCAAGUUAGGUCUCAUAUACGCGUCAAUGAUAUUACUAGGCUGCUGACAGGGCACAGAUGAGCUAGCAGCUUAGUGUGGUUACCAACUGAACAGAAUUGAAACAGUUGUUUCUGAGAAAUUUUCUUGCAACUUAGAGAGAGUUAGCCAAGAUUGUAAACAUGGGAUUUGUUCUUUGCAGAGUGCUGAGUGUAAUCUUUUAAUCGGCAUCUGUUAAUGAUGCUUGCCGUGGUUGUUUUCUCUUGCAGAUAUAAGCAAGCUUGUCAAGCCACAUAAAUUGCUCUUGUGAUGUUCUUGAUUUGAUUUUGCAUGUCCCUAUGAUCUCAUUGAUUAAUCUUUAGAUUUAGAUCCUGAAUUCUUUCUUGAUCUCUUCUUGAUUUGAUAAUCACAUUGAAUUGGAUCCAACAGUAACAAUGGCUCCUACAAUUAAACUCUAUUCAUUUUCUUUCCUUAUUGUUCUUAAGGUAAGGUACACAAUAUCACUUGUAAAUUAUACACCCAUCGAUGGAGUAUUUGAAUGUUCUUAUAUAUACAUCUAUGAAAUUUCUGAUAAAAGAAAUGAUGUCCAUAAUGUGAAACCGAAGAGAAAUAUGAUGCUGAACAACAUUAAAUUUAAGAGUACACAGAUUACUAAGUUCCUGGUGAUCACAUCAGAAAACAUUAUCUUGAUUUAGGAAUGAAGCUAAUUUAUCCAUCAAGGCCACAGCCUUUUCAGAAUCUGGAUUGAACAAAUGAAACACAUGAUCCUCUCCUUCUGUCUCCACAAUCUCAAUUUCUCCAGCCCACCCACAAUUUUUCAAAGUCUCAUAAUAAAGCAAUCCCCUAUCUCUCAAAUUAUCCUUCUCGGCAACACAAACGAGAACCCUGGGACACCUCAGGCUCAUUAGCCUAGAGUCAGCAGCUGGGUUUAUUCUCACAUCAUUGUACCCACUUGUAUUUGGACAUACAAAUACCCAACACUUAUCAACAACUUCAUCAUUUCUCCCAAAAUAUGGCUGAACCAAGCAAAUUCCUGCCAGUUUUAUCCCAUUUAAGUCUUCAAAACUCGCUUGAACGACCAUGUUGUGCACAAUAUUGCCACCAGCACUGUCACCGGCGAGAAAAACACGAGCAAAAUCAGCAUGAUCGUUUAACCAAGCUUCAUAGCCAUGACCAUUGAUAUUAAAAGGAUAAGCUACCCAUUUUAGGCUCUCUCUCUGUAGUACCUAUCCUUCUUCUAACAAUGGAGCGAGCCGCGUUGCUUCGUUCUCUCUCUUGUACUUCCCUCGCUUCCAACAGAUUCUACUUUCGCUCUUUCGUACCUCGCGCCAAAUUUUCAUCAUCAUCAGUUGCUGUUGCGAGGAGGAAUCACCACCGUCUGAUCAACAACCUCACCAGGCGCUCCCUCCUCCGCGGCGACAGCAGAUUACACCUCUCCUUAUCCUCUUACUCUCUUCCAUUCAACAAACACUUCUCCUCUCUCUCUCCUAACGCCGUCGCCUCUCCUUCCACUCCCUCAUCUCCAGGUGCAAAUUUGUCGUUUCACUCUUUCUAAAUUUCAGCUCUUUUCCCGUUAUUUAUUUAAUUAAUCUCCUACGUUUAAUUAAGCAGUAAUUUUAUUGGUUCAUUGAAUGAUUACCGGCAAAAAAAAAAACACUUAUUUUCAAUUCUUGUAAAUUUGUGUUUGUUAAUCGUUAGAAAUGAUCUAUUAUUUGGAAAAAAAAAUUGAAACUCCUCUUUUAAGUUAUUGUGAUUGGUGUGUUGAAUUGAGCUCUGUGAUUGGUUUUCUUUGUGUGUGUAGAGGUUGCUGAAGUCAGCAAUGAAGUGGCGGAGAAGCUUGGAUUCGAGAAGGUUUCGGAAGAGUUCAUUGGAGAGUGUAAAUCAAAGGCUGUGCUUUUCAAGCACAAGAAAACCGGUGCUGAGGUCAUGUCUGUAUCCAACGAUGAUGAGAACAAGGUCUUCGGCAUUGUCUUUCGAACUCCUCCGUAAGUAUUGUAAAUGUACUCUGUCUCACUGUUUGAUAUCGUCUUUUUAUUUUCUCUUUUCAUUUUAUUUGAUUAUAUUAAUUUAAAUCAGAUACAUUGUUAGAUAUUAUCAUUGAAAUGCUAAGAAUACAAGAAAAUAAUUUUCAGGCAGUUAUAGUUUUCUGGACAACGAGACACCAUUGCCUCACGCCAUUCUCUUGUUUUAACACCAGUUGUCUAGUCAGGAAUAGGAUCCUUGCCCCAUUGCCUCACGCCAUUCUCUUGUUUUAACACCAGUUGUCUAGUCAGGAAUAGGAUCCUUGCCCCAUUGCCUCACGCCAUUCUCUUGUUUUAACACCAGUUGUCUAGUCAGGAAUAGGAUCCUUGCCCCAUUGCCUCACGCCAUUCUCUUGUUUUAACACCAGUUGUCUAGUCAGGAAUAGGAUCCUUGCCCCAGAAGGAUGGAUGAGUUAAAACAAUCCCAAUCGUCGAGAAUUUCUUGACAAUGUCUUACUCCCAUGUGGUGAGCUAUAUUAGCGCCAGAACUGUCACCAGCGAAAAACACUCUCUGAAAGUCAGCAUAAUGGUUAAGCCAAUCUUCCGGGCCAUCCCCAUCAACAUGGGAAGCAACCCAUUUGAUUGCAGUCCGUGAAUCGUCGUGAGCACAGGGGACCGGAUUCUUCGGGGCUCUCCGAUAAUCAACCGAGACUGCUAUGAUGUUAGCUUCAGAAACUAAGUUGUUGAGGUAAUUAUUGUAAGUAGAAGAACAGGCAGUGUGGACGCAGAAGCCUCCACCGUGAAAAUAAACCACAAGAAGAAGUUUUUGGUUUUGAUCUUUUGUGUUUUUCGGAAUGUAAAGACGAGCGGAUAGAGUAUUUUCAGGUAAAUACAAAACGUCUCUGGAAUCAACGUUUGUUUUUGGAUCAAAUGAUGGAGGAACGAUGUCAUUGCCCACAAGCCUCUCUAUUGUGCCAUCUUUGUAUAUUAUCAUCAUAGGAGAGAAAUCGUGGGCGAUUUCUGAUAAUGGCUCUGUGGAACCCAUUGAAGCAGAAAAUGUCGGCAGAGCGCCGGCAAGCCUGAAUUAGCCUUUCUAAUAAAAUAUUACUAGCAACAGCCAACAAAGAUCUUGCUCAAGUUAGGUCUCAUAUACGCGUCAAUGAUAUUACUAGGCUGCUGACAGGGCACAGAUGAGCUAGCAGCUUAGUGUGGUUACCAACUGAACAGAAUUGAAACAGUUGUUUCUGAGAAAUUUUCUUGCAACUUAGAGAGAGUUAGCCAAGAUUGUAAACAUGGGAUUUGUUCUUUGCAGAGUGCUGAGUGUAAUCUUUUAAUCGGCAUCUGUUAAUGAUGCUUGCCGUGGUUGUUUUCUCUUGCAGAUAUAAGCAAGCUUGUCAAGCCACAUAAAUUGCUCUUGUGAUGUUCUUGAUUUGAUUUUGCAUGUCCCUAUGAUCUCAUUGAUUAAUCUUUAGAUUUAGAUCCUGAAUUCUUUCUUGAUCUCUUCUUGAUUUGAUAAUCACAUUGAAUUGGAUCCAACAGUAACAAUGGCUCCUACAAUUAAACUCUAUUCAUUUUCUUUCCUUAUUGUUCUUAUGGUAAGGUACACAAUAUCACUUGUAAAUUAUACACACAUCAAUGGGGUAUUUGAAUGUUCUUAUAUAGACAUUAAUACAUAUAUGAAAUUGCUGGUAAAAGAAAUGAUGUCCAUAAUGUGAAACCAAAGAGAAAUAUGAUGCUGAACAACAUUAAAUCAAGAGUACGCACAUUACUAAGUUCCUGGUGAUCGCAUCAGAAAACAUUAUCUUGAUUUAGGAAUGAAGCUAAUUUAUCCAUCAAGGCCACAGCCUUUUCAGAAUCUGGAUUGAACAAGUGAAACACAUGAUCCUCUCCUUCUGUCUCCACAAUCUCAAUUUCUCCAGCCCAAACCACAAUUUUUCAAAGUCUCAUAAUAAAGCAAUCCCCUAUCUCUCAAAUUAUCCUUCUCGGCAACACAAACGAGAACCCUGGGACACCUCAGGCUCAUUAGCCUAGAGUCAGCAGCUGGGUUUAUUCUCACAUCAUUGUACCCACUUGUAUUUGGACAUACAAAUACCCAACACUUAUCAACAACUUCAUCAUUUCUCCCAAAAUAUGGCUGAACCAAGCAAAUUCCUGCCAGUUUUAUCCCAUUUAAGUCUUCAAAACUCGCUUGAACGACCAUGUUGUGCACAAUAUUGCCACCAGCACUGUCACCGGCGAGAAAAACACGAGCAAAAUCAGCAUGAUCGUUUAACCAAGCUUCAUAGCCAUGACCAUUGAUAUUAAAAUGAUAAGCUACCCAAGUGAGGACAGCCCAUGAGUCUUCAUAAGCAGCAGGGACCAAGUGUUCAGGGGCUAAUCUGUAAUCAACUGAGACUACAAUAACAUUUGCUUUGGCCGAAAGAGAGCCUACAUAGUUGUGGUACGUGGAACAAAAUGGUGAGCCCAUAAAGAAGCCCCCGCCGUGAUAAUAGACGAGGAGAGGGAGCUUUUGGUUUGUUUUAAUGGCGGCUGAAGGGAUGAAGAUUCUUGCUGAUACGCCUUUCUCUGGCACAAUAACUACAUCUUUGGAGAAGACAGCAUUUGAGGAAUCCAUUGAUGCUGGAACUUUAUCGCUCCCAAAGAAUCUCUCCACAUGCCCAUCUCUGUAUGCACGAAAAUAUGGAAGAAACUCAUGUGCAAUUGCUCUUGUUUUUGAAUCCAUUAUUGCUUGUUGCAUAUUAUUAAUUCUAGUGAUGAUGAUUAAAUAACGAGAGUAACAGUAGUAAGAUAUAUUGCCAGUAAUCGUUUCUUUGGUUUGCGAGCAAGAUUAAAGUGUGGUCAUUGGUUUCUUUUUUUUCCUCCGAGACAAAAAUGGGGCUAAAGUUUGGUCGUUCUUUGUAUUAAGAUAGUGGAAUAAAAAAGGAUAAAUUUCCAGCUAUCCCAUCAAUUCAUUUCCUACAUAUCGCAAUUUUACCCCAUAAAAAACAUCUUUUUUUUUUUUUUUAAUGAAAAAAAGGGAAAGUUUCGUGGUGCUUUCUCAUGUAGUUGUUCAAAAAGGUUUGAUACAAAACAUUUUGUUUUGUUUUUUAAUAAAAAAGAAAAUAUAAAACCAACUAAGUGUCGUUCGUAUAAUUGAAUAUCAUGAACAAGUUAAAAUCCCAUGGCUAUAGUUCAUGUGGGAUUUAAAGUUCCUCUCAAUACACAAAUGAACAAUAAGACCUCGUAGAUAGAACUCACUUUUAAAAAUUGGUUUAUAAAAGAAUUGAGUUCGCGAGUUUUAUAUAUUCAUUUAAAUUGUCAUAUUUUUUAGUUCAUGUACGCCAUGCGGAACAUAAGAUCCUAACAUAUAUCUUAUCGUAUUGAAAAAAUAUUAUAUUUGGUCCAAAAUCCAAUGCAUAUCCAAUAUUCACUUGUCUAUGCAUAUCCAACAUUUUCUUGUGCACAUGCAUGUCAAAAUGUUGCCAUUCUGAUAGUAAGUUGAAUGAUAAGGUCUUAAUUCAAGUUGUUCUGUACACUAGCAUCUUAAUUGCACUUUCUCUGUCACAGAGUAUUUGAAUAUGUUUGAAGCAAGUUCAGCCCCCAAAUGAAUCAAUAGUUGAAAAACAGAAACUAUUUUCAGAACCAGUCAGGAUUAUUGAGAAAUACCCUGCUGGUGAUGCUGGUGAUAUUAAGAAGAAGAACAUGGUAUGCCUUAAUUGGUUGCUCUCAGAUAAGCCCUUAGACUUGGAAACGGAACUUGCCCUUGGGUUCUUGGAUCAUCUUAUGCUGGGAACUCCUGCUUCUCCCUUGAGGAAAAUUUUACUAGAAAGUGGUCUUGGAGAUGCCAUUGUUGGUGGUGGGAUUGAAGAUGAACUCCUUCAGCCUCAAUUUAGUAUCGGAUUGAAGAAUGUUUCUGAAGAUGACACUCAAAAGGUAGAAGAAUUAAUCAUGGAUACACUAAAAAAACUAGCAGACGAAGGUUUUUUUCAGAAUAUUUCAUAUUUUCUAUCUAGCAAGCCUUGCUUUGCUCCCACGACUCCAACGAAUACGUUGGGUCUAAGUCUUUUACCAUAGUAAGUCUAUAAUUCCGAGGUGCCAUAAGCAGGUGUACAUCCGAGGACAACUCAAAUUUAGAGUCUUAAGUUUCUUAUCCUACAUUAAAACUUCUCUUGAUCUAAACUUUUAUUUGCUAUUAAAUACCUAACAUACAUUCAAUUUGAAUUUUACACUAUUCUUUUAUUAUUAGAUAGCAAUUUUUUAUGUGGAAAUAUUCUGUAAGUUGUAAAAGCUAUUGUUAUCAAAAUUAUUUUUUCAUAGUUUAUUUCUUCUGUAUAUCAAAUGCUUAGCUUAUAAUUAUUCAUAACAUAUAAAUAUUACUAUACUAAAUAACCCGGUAAACAUAUACCUAUUUAAACUUCCAAAUGUAUAAUACAUCUAAGGAUAUAAGUAUAAAAUACUAGAUUUAAGAUAUUUUGAGUUUAUAAAAGCAAACAACUUACCACUUAUAUACUUAGGCAUCAAAAAAUGAAAACAGACAAAUGGAUUUAGAUUUGUUUAAACUUCAGUUAAACUAAUUUAAAUUUCAAAUAAAAAGAAUAAAUGUUAUCUUAAUAAAUAGUUAGUUGUUAGUAGGGCAGAUUAUUGAUAAUACCCGUUUUCACCAAAUUUUCAUUAGGAUCUGAUUCGUACUAGUUACCAGAUCAAAUCUGUCUCAAAUAAAUAAAUUUACAUUUGAGGGAGCUUGUGCUAAGUUUGGACUUAGAUGUUUUUUUCUGAUAUUUGUGAUAGGUGGUUUAACUAAGGUACCCUAGGUGGUGAGCCAAAAUAAUAUAUAGGAGUUAAUUUAGGGAGUAACUCAAGUGUCCCACCAAAUACUUAGCGUAGUUAGGGUAGCUCAAGUAUACUCGAGUGAUAGCUCAAGUGUCUCACCAAAUACUUAGUGUAAGUGGGGUACGUCAAGUAUGCUUACACAUGAACAUAAUUACAACUGUAAUUCUGUAAAUUGAAAAUAUAGCAAAAUAAACAUAGAGGCAAUGAACACACAUUGUUUACGUGGUUUAGCCUUUGACCUACGUCCACGGGAGUAAGUAAUCAUCAAUCCAUUAUAACACACAAUGUUUACGUGGUUUGCCAUUUAGCCUACGUCUAUAGGAGCAAGUAAUCACCAAUUCGUUAUAUAAAUGAAAUGUUAUAUAAGAUUCUACAUUAUAAAAGAUGAAUAAAAUAAGCUAGAUAGCUAUAUAGAGAUGUUUAGUCUUGAUAAAGAUGAAGAUGAUUGUUUCAGGUAGAUUUUGGGUGCAAAAGAAAAAAGGAAAACCUAACUAAAAUAAUAAAUUUAUUUUCGGGAUAUAAGGUACCUCACUUAGUUGCAAUUUGUGCGUUGUUUUGUGCAUUUUAAAAAAAUGAAGAAGAGUGAGAAGACAAUGAUAAUGGUGAGAGGUCCAAAUCUGGACUGAAAGAGCUUGAAAGGACACCUUAAACUAGCAAAACAAUAAAAAGGAUAUCAUAGGUGAAGCCGGAAGUGGCCAGUGACCAUGGUUCGAUGCUUAAGUCAGAGUUGGGUUAUCUAGCGUUUGAGAGCUUGUAAGCUCUCUUUAAUGAUUGCUGGAGGUUAGAGAAAACCUUAGUCUUUUAUGUGUGUGUUUGUUGUAUAUCUGAGCAAAAUAAAACUUUAGUGUCUUUCUAUAUAGAGCACCUUGACUACCCUACCACGUGGCAUAUAUUACAGUGGUGAUUUGCUGUCAUUUUCAAGUUUAUUUUAUCCUUUCACCAGUAUCAUGAUUUUGAGCCAUUAGUAGCAUGCUUGAGGAGCAAUAAGGACAUCAUUUGGUAUGGUUUGUUUUCUUGUACACGUGUUGUGCGUUGCAGAGUAGUCUAGGACACCUCUACAAAGGUUGUCUUGACAGCUUCUAUGCGUGGCAGCUAAGGACCACUGUCUUGGUGUGUUUCCUUUUGCUUUUUAUAGGUGUGACAGCAAGCUGCCCCUUCUUUUCUAGCAAGAUAUUUCCUAUUUGAUCUUGUCAAAUCAAAUAUUCUCUUAGGGUGAUGGAGGUAUUUCUCACGGUUGAUAUUUUAGAGACUUUUCUUUACCAUCUUACUUCUAGUAUGGAAUACUCCACGUACCAGCUCAAUUAUCAAGUGUACCCAGUGUAAGUUAGGUACCCUCUGUGAUUAUUUUUAAUCAUAAAAUUUUUCAUCAACACACAGCGCCACAUUAUUGAUCUUCAAUGUCUUCCCCAAACAAUAUCCUUCCUAGUACAGACACCCUUUUAUAAAAAUAAGCAAUGGAGCUAUUGGCACCCCUUUAAAAAUCGUAUCAAACCUUUCAUUUGAGUUAUUUUAUAAAAAAUUUAAUUAAAUGCACCCAUCUUCUUCAAGAAUAUUGGCAGCAAUCAGAUUUGUUGUUUAUGACCCAUAUAUAGAAUUUCAGUUACAAACCAUUCAUUAUCUAUCAUCAAACGAAUUCUUGAAAAGAACAAUUUUAAAUAAAAGACAGACUAAUGUAAAAGAAAAAUGACUCUAAAAGUAUACAAUUGUUUGUGAUAAAAAAGAAAAAGAAAAAAAAUGUCUCAUUCUUGUUCAAAGAAUAAAAAUAUGGAUUUAGUGGUGUGAAAAGAAAUCUCUCCAAAACUGAAUUGGAUAAGUUCAAGCUCUGAACUUGCAGUGUUGAACAAGCGCAAUCAUUAUAAAUUUAAAAUGAAAGAAAAUGCCAUUGAGUUUAGAAGAGUUUCGUAGAGAGAGAUGAGGUUCACUGAAGUUUUCUUGGGAAAAAUAAUUGGAAGGUUAUUUGUGGAAUUAAAUAGAGAUUAUUCUUAAAAGUGGUUGUACGAGGGCAUUCGAGGGAUGGCAAUAGUCCAACCCAAUAUUAAUUUCUGUGUUCAAUUGAUUUUCUGAGAAUUGUCAUACUUUUUUUAAUUAAUAAAUUUCCUUUGAACGGUUGAAGUUGGUAAAUAUAUAUAUAUAUAUAGGGUUCCUCUAUGAUGUUGUAAUUUUUUUACAGCAUCAAUAAUGUUUUUAAUUGUGUACCAUUGGAUUUAAUCAAUGGUACACAAUAUUUGUAGGUAAAAAUAAAAAUAAAAAAUAAUGGUAAACGGUUAACAAACGUGUAAGGGGUGGAGAAGUUUGUGAAAUAACUAUGACCACCCUUAGAGUUUGAAACAAUUUCACUUAAAUAUCACAUUUUAUUUAAAAUUAUUUUUCAGAAUAUAAUGGUAGGUUAUUUAACACAAAUCAAAUAAAUAAGUUGCAAUUGCAAAAUUUAUAUAUGAUAUAACACUAAUAAAUAACACAACAAGUACAUAUAGUUAAGUAAAUGUCAUAGAUACAUCAAUAAACUCAUUGUUGAGAUUGCUUGUAACAUAAAAAUUACUUGAUCACACAUGUUUUAAUAAAAUUUAAUAUUGUAUAUUAAAAUACUCAUUAUUUUAUAUAAUAUUAAGGGCCAUUGUAUAAUUGAUCAUGAAGUAUGUAUCAUUUUUAACACCCAUUUAACAAAUUUAUUUUAUGUACUUUAUAUUUAUCUUACAGUUAAUAUCCUUACAUGGUGGGAGUUUUAAGUUUUAUAAGCUUAUAUAUUUUCAUUACAGCAGAAUUAUAAAAUUUUAUGUUAUGAAGAGUCAUUACUUCUGUUAUGAUAGUUAAUAGUGACAAUAAAUAAAAUAUUGCCUCCGAUAAUAUUUACGUGGGAAAAAAGUGAAAUAAAAUCAUUUAUAUUUUUAAAUUUUUAUUGACAUGGUAGAAAAUUAUCUGAGCCUUAUAAAAUUUAACUUAUAGUAAUUAUAAAAUUUUUAUGUUACAAAGAGUCAUUACUUUUAUUAUGAUAAUUAAUAGUGACAAUAAAUAAAAUAUCACAUCAAAUAAUAUUUAAUGGACAAAAUGAGGAAAAAAAUGAUUGCAUGUUUUUAUAUUUCCAUUAUAACGAUAUAAUUUGGGAUACUUUAACUUAAAAUUUUGACACAAUAUUUGAGCCACUAAUAUAACAUAAUCUAAUGGUUGAUAUUGAAAGUCAAAGCAACAUUUCAUAAUGUUAUAUCCUCUACCAUUGAAUUGCAUGAAAUAAAUAGUUUAAUCUUUUGUUAAAAAUUUAAAUCAAAAUAUUUCUCACUCUAUAGUUAUAUAGACAUAUAUAUUUUUCAAUAAUAAUUGGUGAAUAAAAUAUUUCUCAUUUGUUGUGACUCAUAAUUUUAAAUAAAAUAUGCUAUUUAAGUGAAAUUAUUUCAAACUCUAAGGGUGGUCACAAUUAUUUUACAAAAAUUCUCCACCCACUUGAACGUUAACAAACUGUUUACUAUUAUUUUUAAAUUAUUUUUUUAGUACAAAUAUUAUACACCAUUGAUUAAAUCUAAUGAUUUACAAUUAAUACAUUAUUGAUGCUGUAAAUUUUUUACAGCAUCAUAGAGGAACCCAUAUAUAUAUAUAUAUAUAUAUACCCGUAAAAAUAGCAGCUGACAGAAAAAAAAAAAAAAAGGAAAUUGACAAUUAUAAAUAUAGUUAGAGGCACAUGAAUUCAGGCCUUCUCCUGAUGAUUCAAGAAAGAAGCAGUUCUCUCAAGCAUGGCCACAGCAUUUUCACAUGUGGGAUUUAUCAAAUGGAACACAUAUUGCUCUCCUUUGGACUCAACAAUCUCCACAUUGCCCCUACACCCGCUCUCCUUCAACUUGUCAUAAUAAAACCAUCCUCUAGAUCUCAGAAAAUCAUUCUCCGCAACAAAUACCUGCAUCCUGGCGCAUCCCAGGCUCGCUAGGUCCGAACCCGCAACGGCAGGAUUAAUCCACGGAUCAUCGCACCCACUUGUGCUACUUGGACAAGUCAAUCUCCACAAUCCCGCGACCCAGUCUCUUUUCUUAGCGUCAGCUGUUUCAUUACCAACAGCUUCUCUGCCCAGAAAAUACGGAUGAAUUAAAACAAUGCCAAUAACAUUAACACCAUCGAGAAUUUCUCGACCAUGUCUCAUGCCCAUGUGAUGAGCUAUGUUAGCGCCAGCACUGUCACCAGAAAAAAACACUCGCUGGAAAUCAGCGAAAUAGUUGAGCCAAUCUUCAGGGCCUUCUCCGUUAACAUGGGAAGCAACCCACUUGAGUGCAGUCCAUGAAUCAUCAUGAGCGCAAGGGACAGGAUUCUCCGGGGCUCUCCGAUAAUCAACCGAGACUGCGAUGACGUUAGCUUCAGAGACUAAGGUGUUGAGGUAAUUGUGGUAAGUGGGAGAAAAGGCGGUUUCGAUGCAAAAGCCUCCGCCAUGAAAAUAAACAAGAAGGGGAAGUUUUUGGUUUUGGUUUUGGUUUUGUCUUUGGUUUGGAAUGUAAAGCCGAGCAUACAGUGGCGGAUCUAGCUUGGGACCAGUGGGGACUUAAGUCCCCACUGAAAAAAAAAAAAUUUUUUUACUAACUAAUUUGAUUUGCCAAAAUCUUUUAUAUUCAAGCCCAUAAAUCUUUUAUAAUCAAGCCCCUAAUACUUAAUUAUACUUAAAUUCUCACAUGAGUGGUGAUAUUUGACCCCCUCAUUAUAUCUCACCAACCCCCACUAAUUAUUUUUAUAUUAAUACUUAUUUUAUCCUUAUAUGAAAUGACUUAAAAGGAUAAAUAUAUUUUAAGUACACCCACAUAAUAAUUUUUAUUAAUAAUUAAUAAAAUUAGUCUAAUUUUUUAAACCCUAAUUUCCUUUAACUUUUUAAUUUUUUUGGUGAGAAUUGAUUAAACCCUAAUUAUAAUGAUCAUUAAUAUUCUUAGCCAACAAUUGCUUUGUUAAACGUUCAGUCAAAUCCUCUUAGAACAAUCCUUAAGAAAUAGAGAUUCCCUACAAGCAUCAUAGAUGAAACAAAAAGUCAUAAGAAUGGUCCUUAUAUUGCCUGAUUAUUGGUUUAGUGGCAUUUAAUAAACCAAUCUCCUUGUCAUUGCUACGGAAGUAUUGUUUGUAGCAAAUGAGCCUUUAUUACCUGAUUAUUGCAUGAUCCCAUAAACCCAACAAGCACGACAACUGAACCUGUAAGUCUUGGAGUGAGAGUUCUACCGAGUGACCAUGGUUGAUUGUCUUCUUCUUCUAGUAAAGGGAAAAGCGAGUUCGUUUAAAAUUUGUAUAAAACCCUAGAAUCUAACUUUUUAAAUUAUCUCUUUUCAUAUAUUAUAUACUCCCUGCUUUUGUAACUAUGGAAGAAAUUAGUUUGCAGUACUCACUAGCGGAUGAAGAAGUAAGUUUAAAGUUUUUUUCCCUUUAAUUUUUGUACUCUAUUUAUUUUCAACACCCUAAUAAUUUUAUAUUUCUAACAAAUUUUAGGAUGAAAAGUCUAUUAAUCAUGGAAACAAUGUCACAAGAGAAUCGAACAUUGUAGAUGAUUGUGCUUGUGUUUUCAGCACUGACAAGGUAGAUAGCUAACUUUCACUUUUUAAUUUUUUAUUAUUAAUUAAUAUUAUUCAAAGCUUUCUAAUUGGAUAUAUUAUAAUUUUGUUUUGAUUAGGUUUUGAAUAGCAUGGAAGAAUUAAUUGAGUGGACACGAAAUGCUGGCAAGAGAAAUGGAUAUGUCAUUAUAAUAAAAAAGUCAGAUGUAAGUGCACAUGGUAGAAAUCCAAGAAUAAUUUUCGCUUGUGAAAGAAGUGGUGCUUACAAGUGUGUUUCUAGUGAAGGUCAAAGGCCAAAAUGUCCUAAGGCAACCGGAACAAAAAAAUGCAAUUGUCCAUUCAGAUUAAAAGGGCAAUAUUUGGCAAAUGACAAUUGUUGGGUUUUGAAAGUGAUAUGUGCAGAACAUAACCAUCCUGCAGCAAAACAUCUUGAGGGGCACUCAUAUGCAGGUAGACUUACUGAAAAAGAAAACAACUUAUUGAUUGAUAUGUCAAAAAGUAAUGCAAGGCCAAAGGAUAUACUAUAUACGAUAAAACAAAGAGAUAUAUAUAAUGCUACUACUAUGAGGUCUAUUUACAAUGCAAGACAUAGAUACAAGGUUAAAGAACUAGCCGGUAGGUCAAAGAUGCAACUACUCAUGAGCAAAUUGACUGAGCAUAACUACAUUGAGUGGUAUCAAAGUGAUGCUGAUACAGACAAUGUUAAGGACUUAUUUUGGGCUCAUCCUUUUGCAAUUGACCUAUUACGGGCAUUUCCACAUGUGUUAAUUAUGGAUUGCACAUACAAGACCAACAUGUAUGCUUUUCCAUUACUAGAGCUGGUUGGUGUCACCUCGACUGAGAUGACAUUUUCAGUAUGUUUUGCAUAUAUUGAACGCGAGCGGGAGGAUAACUACAGUUGGGCACUAGAUAAAUUGAAAGGUUUUAUGGAUAAUAAUAUGUUACCGAGUGUAAUUGUGACAGAUAGAGAGGUAGCACUAAUGAAUGCUAUUCAAAAUAUUUUCCCAACUGCAACUCAUCUUCUGUGUAGAUGGCAUAUCUCAAAAAAUAUUUUAGCUAAUUGUAAGAAGUUAUUUGAGACUAAUGAGGUAUGGGAAUCUUUCAUUACUAGUUGGAAUAUAUUAGUACUAUCUGCCACAAAAGACCAUUAUAUGCAACACCUAAGACUUUUGGAGAGUGAAUUUGUUAGAUAUCAAGAAACUAUUGAUUAUGUGAAGAACACAUGGCUGGAUAAGUACAAGGAAAAAUUUGUUGCAGCUUGGACUGAUUCAAUAAUGCAUUUAGGAAAUACAACCUCAAACAGGUAAAUAUUCAUUAAAAUAUAUUCUUAUAUUUAAUUUUAUUAUUGAAAAAAUAACUUUUUUUUGGGUAUUUUCUUAACAGGGUUGAGACAUCUCAUUCAGCAUUAAAAAGGCAACUACAAUCAUCACGAGGAACUUUUGAGACGUUAUGGACUAAAAUCCAUGCUUUAGUAGAAUUGCAGCAUACAGAGAUUAAAGCUUCGUUAGAGAGAAGUUCAACAACAGUGCAACAUGAUUUCAAACCUUCAGUUUUCAAGGAAUUGCGAGGAUUUGUUUCACGAAAUGCACUCAACAUGAUAUUUUGUGAGUCUAAACAAGCUGAUUAUAUUGGUCUAGAUCCAUUGGCUUAUGGAUGCGUAGUUCGACGCACUCAUGGAAUUCCAUAUGCACAUGAGAUUGCAAGGUAUAAGCGUGAAGGAAGACCUAUUCCUUUGUCUUUUAUACAUCUACAUUGGAAGAAACUAAACUUAUUACCUACUACCAAAGCUGAAACUACAGAUUUAAGUUGUUCAACUGAGAUGGAGAUGAUUUUGAAGCGUUUUAAUAAUAAUGAUUACACUGGAAAGUUACAGAUUUUGAAGAAGUUAAAAGAACUAGCAAAUCCAGCAUCAACUUAUCUUAUUGAGCCAGAAGCUAAAGCAAGAACACGAGGCCGACCUUCUUCAAAGGCAGAUAAUUCUACUCGUCGAGAUCCAUCCAAAUUUGAACAUGUAUUAUCUGCACUGAAUAGUCAUUCUCCACAUUUAUCUUCAAGUAAGAUUUUUGUACAAUCUAAACUACGACAAAGAAAAAAGGUGCAUCAGUCUCAACUUCCUAAGCAUUCUUCUUUCAUUGAUUCAUUUCCACAAGGAUUGCGGCCAUAUAUACAUCAUGUUAAAGAUGUUGCUGCAGAUGGUAAUUGUGGCUUUCGUGUUGUGGCUGAUUUAAUUGGUUUGGGUGAGGAUAAUUGGAUUCAAGUGAGGAGGGACUUAAUUGAUGAAUUAAAAAGCCACUUUGAUGACUAUACCCAAAUAUUUAAGUAUGCAGGUAGAUCUGAUGAGAUUCUACAGUCACUUUCAUAUUUUGAAAACAAUCCAUCAAAUGAUUAUUGGAUGACCUUCCCUGAAGCAGGAUAUCUUAUUGCUUCUAAAUAUAAUGUUGUGCUAGUAUUCUUAUCUCAACUUCAGUGUCUCACUUUUCUUCCACUCAGAUCAACUCCAUUACCACGGCCCUCUCAAAAGAUUAUUGCAAUUGGAUUCAUUCACAAUUGUCAUUUCAUACAGGUAGUUUUUUAGACUUUUUGUUAAUAAUUAUUAUUUCAUACCACAACCCUCAAAGAAAAGAAAUUUUUUUUUUUUAACACUUGUUAACUAUGAUUUUUUCAAUAUUUUACUUUUUUAUUACAGGUAGUCAUGAAUCCAGAUUCACCGAUGCCACCAAUAGCAAGUAGUUAGUUAAAAUAUCAUUCUUCUAUAGCAGAAGGAUGGGCAACUCCAUAUGAUAGGAACAUUAUUGCUUUUAAAGAUUUAGUACAUAAUGUAGCAAGCAAAGACACAAUUGAUUUGGAUGAUCAAUAAGUGUUUCCAUUUUUUAUUGUUUUUUUAAAUGAUUUCGGCAAGUUGUUUUGUAAUAAGUAUUUCAGUUCAUAUAUUAUUUAGAAACUACAAUUUUAUCCAGAGAAACUGCAACAACUUAUUAACACUAAGAGGGGAUACAGAGCCACUGGUUGAAUGUAGUACCCAACUACCCAUUGUUACAAUAUUUGGAGUAAGAGCUACGAAAAUCAGUUUAUUUGUGCUAUUAGAUAUCAUGUCGAUGUUUUAAUUGCCUGGUUUUCUCAAAUCCUUAAAACUGAUUGUUAUUAGAAAAGAAUUAAUGGGGAAAGGAAAGUCAUGAAAAGUUCUUCUGUUGUGUUAACUGAAGCCAUGCAGCUGUUGCUUUGGAGAAGUUUGUACUAUCUGCUGAGUAUUUCAUUAAGAGGAAGUUAUAUUCAGUUUUUUUUUUUUAGAAAAGCUAUAUCCAGAUGUUGAUAUAGGAAUAAAUAAGAUUUAAUUAGUUUUUACUUUUGUUAUUUCUUGCAAGUGUAAAUAGGUUAAAAAACUGUUAAAUAUGUGAUAUGAGCAAGGAAAUUACAAUCAGAAGGGUUACUUGAGAGUUACAAUAGCUACUUUUGAACCUAAUUCUACUUUGAUAGAUUCAUAAUGCAUGCUUAUUUAAGAAAUUUGGCCACUUUGGUGGUCAAAAUCUACUCGGCAGUUGCAAAACUUCAUAAAUUGUAUAUAGAACAAAAAAAACAGUAAUGAUCAUUUUUAUAGAGAACGAAAGUAAUAAUUUUAUUCAGUCAGUAAAAAUGACAAACACUUGGAAGACUAUUCACAGCUAUGAAGAAAUACAUAAAUUCUCCAAUUUGUAAACAAAAAAACAACCAGUCAAGAUACUCAAAGAACUAAAAAAGCCAAUACAAAUUGAAACUAACUACAAUACUUAAAUAUAUAAUUUCUUGAAUUUGUAAACACCAUACCUCCUCAUGCUGAAAAAGGUAGCUGCACUUGCAAGAAAUUCCAAAACUAUCAUGUCUACCCCCUUGGCUAAUUCUUGUAUUUCUAUACUCACUCUGGGCUUGAUAGACUUAGCAUGAUACUUUGAUUUUUUAGGAUUGACUUGGCAUGGUUCGUGGUCCAAUCCUUAUUGGAAUUAUUAAAUUCUUUUCCAUGGUUACGGUGGCGAUUAUGAGAAUUUUUUUCUGUUUUAAAAUAAUUUUUAUAAGUUUUAUAAAUGGGUGCAUGAAGUAAGAUAAAAAUUAUAAUAAGGGUAAAUUAGGAAUUAAGUGGGGUAUAUUAAGAGAUAAAAAUUAAUUUAAAAUUAUUAAUGGGGUUAAUUGAAAAGUGGGGGUUUGUGAGAUAUAAUUAGGGGGUUAAAUAUCACCACUCUUCUCACACUCUAAGUUUUUAAAACAAAUAAAAAGAGAUGGGCUUUGCAAACUUAUUAACACUAAGAGGGGAUACAGAGCCACUGGUUGAAUGUAGUACCCAACUACCCAUUGUUACAAUAUUUGGAGUAAGAGCUACGAAAAUCAGUUUAUUUGUGCUAUUAGAUAUCAUGUCGAUGUUUUAAUUGCCUGGUUUUCUCAAAUCCUUAAAACUGAUUGUUAUUAGAAAAGAAUUAAUGGGGAAAGGAAAGUCAUGAAAAGUUCUUCUGUUGUGUUAACUGAAGCCAUGCAGCUGUUGCUUUGGAGAAGUUUGUACUAUCUGCUGAGUAUUUCAUUAAGAGGAAGUUAUAUUCAGUUUUUUUUUUUUAGAAAAGCUAUAUCCAGAUGUUGAUAUAGGAAUAAAUAAGAUUUAAUUAGUUUUUACUUUUGUUAUUUCUUGCAAGUGUAAAUAGGUUAAAAAACUGUUAAAUAUGUGAUAUGAGCAAGGAAAUUACAAUCAGAAGGGUUACUUGAGAGUUACAAUAGCUACUUUUGAACCUAAUUCUACUUUGAUAGAUUCAUAAUGCAUGCUUAUUUAAGAAAUUUGGCCACUUUGGUGGUCAAAAUCUACUCGGCAGUUGCAAAACUUCAUAAAUUGUAUAUAGAACAAAAAAAACAGUAAUGAUCAUUUUUAUAGAGAACGAAAGUAAUAAUUUUAUUCAGUCAGUAAAAAUGACAAACACUUGGAAGACUAUUCACAGCUAUGAAGAAAUACAUAAAUUCUCCAAUUUGUAAACAAAAAAACAACCAGUCAAGAUACUCAAAGAACUAAAAAAGCCAAUACAAAUUGAAACUAACUACAAUACUUAAAUAUAUAAUUUCUUGAAUUUGUAAACACCAUACCUCCUCAUGCUGAAAAAGGUAGCUGCACUUGCAAGAAAUUCCAAAACUAUCAUGUCUACCCCCUUGGCUAAUUCUUGUAUUUCUAUACUCACUCUGGGCUUGAUAGACUUAGCAUGAUACUUUGAUUUUUUAGGAUUGACUUGGCAUGGUUCGUGGUCCAAUCCUUAUUGGAAUUAUUAAAUUCUUUUCCAUGGUUACGGUGGCGAUUAUGAGAAUUUUUUUCUGUUUUAAAAUAAUUUUUAUAAGUUUUAUAAAUGGGUGCAUGAAGUAAGAUAAAAAUUAUAAUAAGGGUAAAUUAGGAAUUAAGUGGGGUAUAUUAAGAGAUAAAAAUUAAUUUAAAAUUAUUAAUGGGGUUAAUUGAAAAGUGGGGGUUUGUGAGAUAUAAUUAGGGGGUUAAAUAUCACCACUCUUCUCACACUCUAAGUUUUUAAAACAAAUAAAAAGAGAUGGGCUUUGCAAACUAAAAUCAAGCCCAUAAAUAUUAAUAUUAAUCAAAUUUUUAAACAGCCCACAAACCUAUUAAUAAUAUUUUAUUACUCUUUACCUUCUCCAAUUCCACUACAUCCUGCACCCAUACGCAAAUCCCUAAAUCAUCUUCUUGUUUCGACAUCUCCAAAAGCAAAACAGUUUCGGCAUCUCCAAAAGCAAAACAGUAGUGACAGUGGAAAGUGAUUUUCAUUUAUUCCUCCAAAUUUCAAACAACCCCUCAUCUCUUCAUUCAAUAAAAUUAAGGUACAAGUUAACACUUUAUUUGCUUUUUAUUUUAUUGUUUAUAAAUCAUAUAUAAUUAUUUGUUGAAUUGAUGUUAUAGUUGUUUUUCUUCCCCCUUAGUUAGUGUAUCAUCUGGCUAUUGGUAUAUUUGAAAAAUAUAAUGUGAUUGAGUGUAGAUUCCAUGAAAAAGAACACAUAUUAUUAGAUUAAGAAAAUAACAAUUGCAAUUAAGCAUUUGCUUGUUUAACUUUAAUGUCUUGUACUGUUUGUUAAUUAAUUUAUAGCAUUAAUAUAAUUAUAUAAUAGGGGAAUAUGCUAAAAGUGCUACUAGCCUAAGUAAAGUACUCAAUAUUCAUAAUCUUUAUUAUAAUACAUUUUGAGCAUUAUUAACAUGUUUUCAACAGUAAUUAGUGUAUUGGAAAUGAUUAUUGAUGAUGAACCAAAAUCUGGGCAAAGAGGAGAAGCAAAGAAUUUACUAGAGUUGAUGUUGUCAUUUAAUUUUGUGUUCUGUUUACAUUUGAUGAGGAAUAUUUUAGGGGCUACAGAUGAGUUAUCACAAGCAUUACAGAGGAAAGAUCAAGAUAUUGUGAAUGCUAUGAACUUGGUUAGGUUAUGUAAACUACAACUUCAAACAAUGAGACAAAGUGGAUGGAAUUCUUUAAUUGAUGAAGUUACUUUUUUUUUGUGUGAAGCAUGAUAUUGAUGUGCCUAAUAUGGAUGAUAUGUUUGUGGAUAAAGGGCGAUCACAACAUAAAGCUCAAGAGAUCACAUAUUUGCAUCGUUAUCAUGUUGAAUUGUAUUAUGCAGUCUUAGAUAUGCAACUUCAAGAGCUUAAUUCUCGUUUUAAUGAGACAAACAUUGAGUUGCUUCUUUGCUUAGCAUAUUUAUCUCCAAAUGAUUUAUUUUCAGCUUUCAAUAAGCAGAAGCUAUUACGGCUAGCCCGGUUGUAUCCAAAUGAGUUCUCUACAAUUGAUAUCAUGGCACUUGGGACUUAACUUGAUACAUAUAUUUUGGAUAUGCGCACUAGUGGUGAGUUUUCAGAAUUAAAGGAUAUUGGUGAUCUUGCAAAGCGGAUGGUCGAGACUAAGAGACAUAAUGUAUAUCCAUUAGUUUACUUGUUAAUAACAUUAGCAUUGACUUACUUGUUGCCACUGCGAGUGUAGAGAGAGCAUUUUCAGCUAUGAACAUUUUGAAGAAUCGGUUACGAAGCCGAAUGGGAGAGCAAUGGAUGAAUGAUAGUUUAGUUGUUCACAUAGAAAAAGACUUAUUUAAUAAUAUUGAUAAUGAAGUUGUAAUGCAACGUUACCAAUGUAUGAAAACUCGUAAAGGACAAUUGUAAACAUAUAUUGAAGUAUGAUAAAUUUUUUUAAAUUUAUAUAUUUAAUAUGAAAACUCAUAUUAUCUUUUAAAUCAAUAUGCUGUCUCCGCCCCUGCAAGCAUAUAGAUUGUUUUCUGGUGAAUACACAACGUCUUUGGAAUGAAGGUUUGUUUUGGGAUCAAAUGAUGCAAGAACGAUGUCGUUUCCUUUGAGCCUUUCUACUUUGCCAUCUUUGUAUACUUUUAUCGUGAGAGAGAGGUCUAUGGCUAUUUCUGCUGCCGGCUCUGUGGAAUCCAUGUGUAGAGAAAAAGUGCAGAAAAAUAUUGACGGGCUUUGUCUGUUCUCCAGGAGAAGGAGAAAGGAAAAUGGAGCAGAAAAACAUGCAGAGAUGAAGACAAGAUUUGGUAUGUGGAAGGCAGCAAGAGUGGAUAACGUUUACAAUUUAAAAAAUAAAAUAAAAAUGAUAAAGGGACAAAAAUGGUGUCCAAACAAAUACAAUUAGGCCCAUGUAAAUCAAGACAUAUGUUACGAUAACUCAUUAAGAAAAAAAUGAAAAAGGAGUUAUGAAGUGAAAUACAUAAUUAAAAAAUUAACAAUAAUUGAGCAAAUUAAAUUAAAAGAGUUAGUGGUGUUGAUUAUUGACACGUCACCUUGUAAUAGUUUUGUAAGUGCCAAACCACUCUCUUUCAAUUUUUUGUUUUUGUUUUUUGGGACAAGAUAAUAUGAGGAUUGGUAAGAUUUUAAUCCUUGAAUUAUCAUAACCGAAACUGUAAUUUCAAAAAUCGUAUCAGUUUUUGUUGAAGAUGGUAGAAAAUUUUGUUUGGUAAGGACUGCCUUCUUUGUGGAUUUAUCUAAACCACGCUCUUUAUUUCUCACCAACUCUGAUUGGCUUGGCUCCACGUCUCUUCAAUAAGUGGCAAGCAAAUUAUCCUUCUGAUCAACAACCAAAUUAUUGAAUAUUUUAUGCUUAGGCAUUACAUAUCUUGAUUGAGCAUAGCCACAGCAUUGCGUGCGGCUCUCGUUUAGACUCUGCUGUCUCCAAAUAUUUGUGUAGAUAUUUUUCGACUUCAUAGAAAUUGUGGCAUUUCCAGUAUAAAACUAUUGAUAAUUUUUUUCUUGCUCCAUCCAAUAGAAAUCACAAUAUUUGUUUUUCUUCUGAAAGACAGACAUGACAAAGUAAAUUUUCAUCUUCAUCACGUUGGCAUGCAGAAAUAUUUAUUUCUCUAUAUUUGUAUUAUAGAUUAUUGACAUUCAUACAAGUCAUAUUUAUUUAAUACUUUAAUUUUAUUUAACUUAUUUUUAUUAAUUAAUAAAACAAUUAUGAAGACCGGCAGUCAACUGUGUCCGACCGUUAUCAUGAUCAUCUUUUAUCAGCAAAUCACCAGAUUAGUAGGAUAACUUGCUAAGUGAAAUGAAUGAAGUUGCUGAAAAUUGAAAGAAACAGAGCUCAUAUUGGAUAUAUUCUGAUCCGAAAUCAAAGAGAAAUCGAUGGACUCCGUGAACAGUACUACUAUUACAUCAAGUUGUCUUAAUUGAUUUACGAUUGAAUCUAAUUAUUAAUACAUCAAUGAUUCCAGAAGGCCAAAACCUUUUCCGAAUUCUGAUUCCACGGAAUCCCACUUGUAUUUAGCCGCAAUCAACCUAUCUUAUUUCUUCUGAGGUAAAAAAAAAAAAAAAGGAAAGAAAAUCACACACACACACUAGAGUUAUUAUAAUUACCUUAUUCAUCUUUCCUCCCAAAUAUUUGCCGAACCAAAGCAAAUAACCCUUCAGUUUCAAGGCUUAUCCUGAUUGAAGAAAGAACAAAUUUUCUUGAGCAUAGACCCAGCAUUUUCACAAGUGGGAUUGAACAAAUGGAACACAUGUUGCUCUCCUUUAGACUCAACUAUCUCCACAUGGCCUCCCCACCCACUUUCCUUCAACUUCUCAUAGUAAAACCAUCCUCUAGGGCACAGGAAAUCCUUCUCCGCAGCAAACACCAGCACCCUGGCGCACCCCAGGCUUGCGAGGCUCGAACCGUCGGCACACGGAUUAACCCACGGAUCAUCGAGCCCGCUUGUGCUUGGACAAGCAAAUAGCCAAAAUCUCUCCGUUCCAGCUCUUAUUUUAACAUCAGUAGGCUCGGAACCAACAGGUUCAACACCCCAAAAGUAUGGAUGAAUCAAGACAAUACCAACAACAUUAAAGCCGUCGAUAAUUUCUCCACCGUUUCUUAUCGCCAUGUGAUGAGCAAUAUUAGCACCAGCGCUGUCCCCAGAGUAAAACACUCGCUCAAAAUCAGCAUUACGGUUGAGCCAAUCUUCGGGGCCAUUUCCGUCAACAUGGGAAGCAACCCAUUUGACUGCGUCCCAUGAAUCUUCAUAAGCGAUAGGAAGAGGAUGCUCUGGGGCUCUUCGGUAGUCGACCGAUACUGCGAUGAUGUUAGCUUCAGAGACCAAGUCGUUGAGGUAAUUAUGGUAAGUUGGUGAAAAAGCAGUCUCGAUGAAAAAACCUCCUCCGUGAAAAUAAACAAGAAGGGGAAGUUUUUGGUUUUGAUUUGUGUUUUUCGGGAGGUAAAGCCGAGCAGAUAAAUUAUGUUCAGGAGAAUACACAACGUCUUUGGAAUCAACGUUUGUUUUGGGAUCAAGUGAUGGGGGAACGAUAUCGGUGCCCAUAAGCCUUUCUACUUUGCCGUCUUUGUGUACUUUUAGCAAAGGUGAG